rnacentral:lncRNA from 1 species
GUGGUUUCUCUCCCUUGGGAGGUUUACCAAUUGGGGUUGGUGGCUUGUGUUCUGGGAGUGGUUUCUCUCCCUUGGGAGGUUUAGUGGGUGACUUGUGUUCUGGAGGUGGCUUCUCCACCGAAGGCUUGUGCUCCGGUGGUGGCUUUUUGGUUGGAGGGGGCUUGGGGUAAUCAGCAAGAGAUGGGGUGGUGAGAACCACCAGUCCAAGGAACAACACUAGCAAGUAUGUGGGAGACAUUUUUGAGUUUGGGCUGAUCAGAUGAUGCAAAACUAAAGCAUUACGUGACCUUUUAUAGCAAGUAGCUCCCAAUACCUACUUGACACGUGUUACUGUGACCCAUAAAUAUUAUGGGGUCUAUUUGUGCCCUACCGGGUUGAAAACUUGGACAAUUGGGCAAGGACCCGCCUGACUAUGGAGGACUACUGAGGUGUGAUCACAGCUUUAGGAUUUUUCUUCCUCUGCAGCCGUCUUGCCGUUGGCAUGAUUUUCUUAAUCUCAAAUAAAGGCAUAGUUAUAGAGUUGUUUAAUCUCUAAAUGGGAUUUUAUAUAUCUUCAGAUAGCCAUUAAUACAUUUGAUGAAGAAAGAAAGACAAGUGCAUACAACAUGUAUACGACUAGCUUUCAUGGAGUUCAUUUAUGAUCAGUUUUCCUGUACAUGUAAACCAAGAUCAUAUAUGUUUUUGUUCCACAACAAUUUUGGAAUCUUGUUUAUCCGUUUUUAUCAUUAUAAUGUCACAUAGGCUGCCAACUUGGGCGCUAAAUUAAAGAUCCAGUUGGGCAAGUUCGUUUCAGAAUUUCAAUGGUGGAUUCAGGAAUUGUUUUAUAAGAUAUGCAAAAUAGUAGAGGGAUGAAUAGUGUUUCAUUAAGAAAAGAGCCCUGUAAAAAUAUUGUUUAAAGGUGCCAUAGAAACUAUAAUCAAUAAAUAACUUUUUUUCCCCAUGGGUGGUGUUUCUUGUGGGGAUCAGUGACUGGUUUGAGUCAACGCCGUGUCUCUUUAGUCCAGAAAUCAACUAUUUUAUGCAUUGAAUACAUCAACAAAGAAAAUAUGAAAGCCAAAUGACACCUCCCCCGCAAAAACUAAACCCUGGUUGCUAACUUUCUAUGUUUCAGUUCCAUUCACACAAGAAUAUUAGUUCAAGUUUGAGAAAAAUGGCGACUUACCUAGUGAUAACUCGGUCUUGGUUUGCGAUUUGACUUUAACGUCAUGGGUUGAAGCCUCCUACAAUCAUCGUGUAUGCUAGUUCAAAGCUCGUGGAAGAAGUUAUACAGGGAGGGAGAAACCUCCACAGCAAGCUCCAAAAGAGAAUUAUCACAUUGAAAGCUCCAGUUGAACACUGGGUGAAAGCCAUAACAAGAUUGGUUUUCUAUCGCUCUUUUAAGUAAUGGAAGAUUAUUAUCUCUGCUUGUCACUACAACCGUGCAUGCUGCUAGAUCUUUCUAGACACUUCAAACAGUGAAACCAAGUAUGAUUCUUUUUCUCUUGAGUGGGUCCACUUGCAUGCCAAUGAACGAGUUGAAAAGUUGGACAAUUGGCCACAGCGCGCACUUACCUUCUGGAACCGAAGGUCAGUGAAGUGGGGUUCCUUUUGGCCCCUUGUGUUUCUGUUCCAACCUACUCCAGGAACCGAAGUUCAGUGAAGUGGGGCUACUUUUGGCCUCUUGUGUUUCUGUUCCAACCAAACAAAAAUGGGAGGGAAAAAUAGCAUUAUGCUUGUGCUAAAGAUCAACGCAUGAUAGCUGAAUAAGGGAGAAAAAGGCAUUGCUAUCUCAAUUUCAUAAACUUGAUAAGUAGUGACAUUAAUAGUCUUCCUCAUAGAUGGAUACAUGGUUUUAUUUUAUUUAUUUAUUUUUAUUUUUUUGUUUUAUGUCAAUGCUAAUGAAUGAAGUGCAUUAGCUUGUUUUGUGACUAGAACUACAAAUGUCCAAAUUGGAGCUUCUCCAAUAUAUUUCUCAGUGAGUUAUUGAUUAGAACUCUUGGAUUGAGUUCCAAGAUUUGAAUCAGACCCCUCUAGCAGCUUCAGGGGUACGUAGCAACCUAUAGCAUAUUAAUGAAGACUUAGGAUUUAGACUUAGGAAUACAAAUUAAUAUGUACCUCAUGCUCUGACUAGCUUCCCUGCGUAUGCACAAAAUGGAGAUGACUCCCAAAAAAAUAGCAGAAUCGCCUUAGUAUGUUUUUGUGGUUAAGAUGAUUCUCCACUUUAUAUAUCCACAUUGGUUCAUUAUGCAAAUUAAUCAACUAAGCUAUUUUUAUUUUUUCUUAAAUGUGAAAUAGGAGCUCCAAAUUAACCUAACCAUUGGCCUGAUUGAAUUGAUUUCACUUGCAUAAUGUUAUAGUAGAAGUCCGUAAUUUGAAUUUUAUUUUUGCAAAAGGUAACGUAAAUGAAGCAUUGUAAUUAAAUUUAUUUGUAAUUACAAACUAAUUUUAUUUUAUUAAGAAUUAAUUUAAUUACUCAUUUAAAAUAAAAAUCAGUUAUACUUUUACCAAGAUGAUAAUAUUCAUAUUUUUCUAGUUAACAUAUAUAAAAUAGUACACUUUUUCAUAUAAAAAAAUAAUUUAUGAUUUAUUAUAAUGUUACUAUUCACAUUUUACUAAAUUGAUGGUACAUGAUAGUGAGAGAAGGGGGUGUCACACUCAGCUAAAGUUCUUUUCAAAAUAUUGCAUGGUGUUUAAUUUUAUGUGUCGGCGCGCGUGUGAAUGGAACCUGCAAAAGUCCAAAUUGGCGUUUCUCCAUUUUCCACAUAGGAUGGUGACGUUAAUAGACAAAGAUACAAUAUCUGUAGACAUUGCUUAAAAAUCGAUGUGAAGUAUUAGAAAUUACAGGGCACUGUACUGGGGGAGCGGCUGCCCCGCCAAAGGAGGAAGAAUGUAGCAAUUUCUUCUGUUAGCCAGGCCUUAGGAUUUAUGCAUGGGAUGCCUAAUAACAAACAGAGAAAAUAUACUUUUGGGGAAGGUAUCCAACAACAGACACCAUCAUUCAGAUGGUGGGAAGGUAUCCAACAGAUGCCAUCAUUCAGAUGGUAACAUAUAUAUACAUUUAUUAGUGAGUUUUUUUAAUACCUAUAAAAAAAAAUAUACACUUUGAUAUUGUGGCUGAAUCCAUUACAUACUCAACUAACCUUGCUCAUUAGGGAUUUGACUUAACAAGGGCAACGUUGCAGUACAAGCUCAAAACUUUAUGCAGGUGACAUUACAUUUGGUAAAGAAGAGGAAAAUAACGAAAGCCAUCCAUAAAAGCAAAAUUCCACAUGGGAUGAAAUUCACAAGCUUCAUUUACGAUAGAGUCGCAUCCAGGCAAUUAAUUCCACAUUAGACCGCCUGUUGACAUGUGUACCAAUCUUUUUUCAAAAAAUAUUUAUAAAUAAUUGAUACUCACAAAAAUAAUUUAAUAUUUAUAAAGGAUAAAAAAAUAUUUUCAAAUCUAUAACAAUUUAUAAAAUAUUAAUAAAAAAUUAUCUCUUAAACUUAGUAUAGUUUUAUCAGAUUAAACUUUUAUUUUGAACAAAUAAUUUUAAUCUAAGUUUUAAAUUCUAAAAUUAUUUCCUUAAAAUAAAAUUUUAAAAUUCAACACUUCAAUUGAAAUUGUCUUUUUAAAAAAUAUCUUCUUAUUUUAAUCCUUAUAAACUAUAGUUGAUUGAAAAUACUAUUGAAGUUCUCUCUUAAAAAAAAGUCUUAUUUUAAUCUUCAUAAAUUGCCCUUGAUUUGAAAAUAAAUUUUCAGUUAUCAUAUUUUAAAUAAUAUCUAUAUUUAAAAUACUCUAUUUAAAAAAAAAUGAACUAAUUUUAAUUAUAUUAUAUUUUAUUUUUUUAUAUAUUUUUAAUGAUAAACCAAACAUAGAAAAUCAUUUUUCUAAAUAUUUUAAAAUUUCUAAGCAACCAAACAUAAUCUUCAAAAUAAAAGGAAAAUAAGGAGGGACAUUUGAGAAAUGGCGAUUAAAAAAAAGUGUACAAAAGCUCAAUUAAUUUUCUUCUAGUCUUUUAUAUAAAAAAGUAAAGGAAUUGAAAAGUAUUGAUAUGUAAAUUAAUAUUUGGAUUUUAAUAGUAUUUUAUUUGUCUUUCUCUAUCUCAUGUAAAAGAGAAUUUAAGAUAUUUCCUAAAGCAAAGCAUUAGUUAUCUGCAAUCAGUGGUGAUCAUGCCCCAUGUCAAUUUCGGACCCAUAUCUUAAAACUGUAUAAUUUGCAUUCAAACAUUACUGAUUUCUCAGAUGUUUCAUACUCCACAGAAGAGCAUUGUUUGUGAAAGCAUGCAUUUAUGUUGGAUUUUGGAUGAUGUGGGAACUGGGGCAAGGAUCAUAUGGAAGAGUGGUCGAUUUUGUUCUGUACUUUAACAUUUGAAAUAGGAGAAGCUCGGGCAUUUGUGGGGCUUAAUUGAUUUUGAAGCCUGAAAUUGCGUUUCUGUCAUUUUGUAAAAAAUAUGGCAGAUUCCAUGCUCUCAUAUGUUUGGUCUGUGGCCAUGUAUAGAUGCCCCUUAGUGACCAGUUUGUAACUGUCAAUCAUAGUGUUUUGACUCUGGCUCAACAACAUCAGCCAUUGACGGAUUUUCAUACUUGCAAAUCAAAUAGUCUUCUUCCUCCCUUAGGAAUUUCGGUUUAAAUGUUAUUAAGCAUACAUUUGGCUGACAAUUAUUAACCACUUCAUGAUAUGGUUUCUUACCCUUAAUCAAUGGUUUCUAAGUGAAUAUAUGCAGAAGGAAAUCUGAACUGUAGACAGCAGUAUUGAUAACUCUCAAUAUUCUUUAUAUAAGAGAAUAAACAACGUCAUAGUGAUCGUCGCCUACAAGAAAGGUACAUUUCCCAACAAGAUGUAGUUGUGACUGGUACAUGGACGCAAUUAACUCGUACAAAAGAAUAAGACCAGUGCACGGCAGCUCUUAUUUUACAUGCUAAUUAUGCUAACCAAAGUCACUCAGUUGGGAUGGGAGGGAGAUGGAGGUUUGUGCGGUGGCUUGUGGGGCGGAGUUGGUGGCUUCUUUUCAGGAGCUUGUGGCUUUUUCGGAGCUGAAGGAGGCUCAAUCUUAUGAGGCGGCUUGUACGAGUCUUCUUUACUCUCGACAGGAGGGUGGCCAGGGUUGUGACCAUAAUGUGGUGGCUUCUCUCCCUUAGGUGGCUUGCCAACUGGGGUUGGUGGCUUGUGUUCAGGAAGUGGUUUCUCUCCCUUGGGAGGUUUACCAAUUGGGGUUGGUGGCUUGUGUUCUGGGAGUGGUUUCUCUCCCUUGGGAGGUUUAGUGGGUGACUUGUGUUCUGGAGGUGGCUUCUCCACCGGAGGCUUGUGCUCCGGUGGUGGCUUCUCCACCGGAGGCUUGUGCUCCGGUGGUGGCUUCUUGAUUGGAGGGGGCUUGGGGUAAUCAGCAAGAGAUGGGAUGGUGAGAACCACCACUCCAAGGAACAACACUAGCAAGUAUGUGGGAGACAUUUCUGAGUUUGAGCUGAUCAGAUGAUGCAAAACUAGAAGAAUUACGGGACCUUUUAUAGCAAGUAUCUCCCAAUACCCACAUGACACGUGUUACUAUGACCAUAAAUAUUAUAGGGUCCAUUUGUGCCCUACCGGGUUGAAAACUUGGACGCUUGGCCGAGGACACACCUGACUAUGGAGGACUAUUGACGUGUGAUCACAGCUUUUGGAUUUUUCUUCCUGUGCAGCUGUCUAGCGGUUGGCAUUAUUUUCUUAAUCUUAAAUAAAGGCAUAGUUAUAGAGUUGUUUAAUCUCUAAAUGGGAUUUUAUAUAUCUUCAGAUAGCCAUUAAUAUAUUUGAUGAAGAAAGACAAGUGCAUACAACAUGUAUACGGCUUGCUUCAAUCGAGUACAUUUAUGAUCAGUUUUCCUGUGCAAGUAAACCAGUUUUUUGUUCCACAACUAUUUUGGAAUCUUGUUUAUCAGUUUCUAUCAUUAUAAUGUCACAUAGGCUGCAAACUUGGGCACCCAAAGAUCUAGGUGGGCAAAUUUGUUUCAGACUUUCAAUGGUGGAUUCAGUAAUUGUUAAAAGGUGUUUCUUCAUUAAGGAAAGAGUCCGGUAAAAAUAUUGUUAAAAGGUGUCAUAGAAACUAUAAUAAAUAAAUAACUUCUUUUCCCCAUGGGUGGUGUUUCUUCUGGGGAUCAGUGACUGGUUAGGGUCACCCAAAAUGAGUCCAGAUUAAAAUUGGUUCGAGUCAAAGCAGUCUCUUUUGUCCAGAAAUCAACUAUUUUGCGCAUUGAAUGAAUCGAUAAAGAAAAAAUGAAAGCCAAAUCACACCUCCCCUGCAAAACCUAAACCCCGGUUGCUAACUUUCUAUGUUUCAGUCCUAUUCAUAUAGGAAUAUUGGUUCAAGUUUGAGAAAAAUGGCAACUUACCUAGGGUUUACUUGGUUUUGGUUUGCGACUAUUUACGCAACCAACCAUGAGUUUGACUUUAACGUCAUGGGUUGAAGCCUCCUACAAUCAUGUAUGAUAGUUCAAAGCUCGUGGAAGAAAUUAUACAGGAAGGAAGAAACCUCCAAAGCUAGCUCCAAAAGAGAAUUAUCACAUCGAUAGCUCCAGAGAUUCCCAAGGGAACUGAAUCAAAGACAAGUUCCUCACUUUUUCUUCUUUUGAGGCCAAAUAUGAACCAAGGAUCACACGACCUCAUUCAACUUCAUAAGUUUGAUUUCAUGCAGUUGAACACUGGGUGAAGGCCAUGACAAGAAUUGAUUAAAAAAUUCUACCACUCUUUUAAGUAAUGGAAGAUUAUUAUCUCUGAUUGGCACCACAACAGCACAUGCUGCUAGAUCUUUCUAGACACUCCAUGCAAUGAAAGCACAAUGGAUCUUGUAAUGAUAGAAACUAAGCCAUGCUACAGUACUAGAUGAGGGGGUAAAACUAGUAGACAUCUUUCUAGACACUCCAUGCAAUGAAAGCACAAUGGAUCUUGUAAUGAUAGAAACUAAGCCAUGCUACAGUACUAGAUGAGGUGGUAAAACUAGUAGACAUGGCUGGCAGUUGAUUACUACUCAAAAAGUACUCUUUUAUAGCUUGAAACUAACUGUUUUAAACACUUUUGAGUAGUAGUUAAUACCUUUUAACUUAAUUGGCACAUUAAGGAACCUAGCAAGGGUUACUAAUCAACAUUUGGCAAGUUUUGAUGUUUUUGGUAGCUAUUUGAUCAUUGAAACAAGCCAAGAAUGAGGGGGAAUUUUGUGAAGUCCAUGGCAAUGCAAGUUAAAGCUCAAAUACAUGAAGAAUCCAAGCUUUGGAGCACUUCAUAGCCCUUUGCCAAGCCAAUCAAAGAUGCAAGGAAGAAAACCAAAGGAAGAAAUCCAACAAUCAGCAUUUUGGCAUGGCUAUGUGAAAUUUCGCACACCAUGCGAAACCACAAGAGGCAGCCAAAGAAUUUCGCAUGGUAUGCGAAAUCUUCUUGUGCACUGACUCUGUUAGAUUUUUAUCUUCAGAUAUUUUGUGUAAUUUCCUAGUUUCUCCUUGUAACCAACUUAGAUAUUUUCUUUUAUAUCUUUUUUUAUAUUUUUUAGGUAACAUCAUAUAUAAGAGGAGAGACAUAAGGAGGAUAUGGAUGUUUUUCAUAGAACACUUGUAAAUUUUUGGUAGUAAGAAAUAUACAAAGCUUUUUGCUCUGCCUUACCUUCUCAAGGGAUGAGUGGCUAGGUUUUCUUGGAGUGAGGGAAGCUAGGUGAAGGACCUGAAUGCAAAGGUGGGAGUUUUCCUUACUUUAAAUGAAAGUAGUUGUUAAACAUUAAUGGUUUUUAUUUUAAGGUUUAGCUUUAAAUCCCUGAAAAACACCUUGAAUGGCCAAUACUUGGUAAGCUUUUUAGAUUCUAUGGAUGCUUAUUGCUAGAUCCAUGGAUGUCUAUUAGUUAUCAUUUACGAGCCAUUGGAAGGUGAUUCAAGGUGAGGGUCUUUAGUGUUUGAAGCCAUUAAUGGGAAGCAAUUACCAUUUUUUCAUGAAUCCUUUGGAUCAAAUCUUAAUUGCUAAAUAUAAAACCGGUUUCGAGAGAUAACCACCAUCCUUUAUGUUAUUAUCCCCAACGCGAGGAGAAGAUCCGAAAUCUUCCUUUUUAUCUAAGGAACCCGAUCCUAGUGACCUAAAGCUCCAAGAUACCUUUUCUUUGUAGUUAACUUCAUUUAUUGUUUUUGCUUAACUUAAAAUCAAUCUUUGCAACCACAAUUCCAUUUUCUUUAAAAGCUAAUUUUUAUAAGGAAAAACACCAUUUUAUUUCCUUCACUAAGUCAACUGUACGAUGAAAACCCAUCCCUGUGGACGAUCCUAGAGCCACUAUACUAUGUUAGCUAUGCUACCCUAGUGUGAGGUGAUUUAGGUUUUAUAAAUUUUUUUGAUAACACCCAUCUGAGCCAGAAUCAAAUGGCACGACUGAACCAGGGACGAAUCAAAUGACGCCGCUACCAAGGAUGGUGCCAAAGUACAUUGACAUGACUUUUGGUGAACACUUGUGAUCUUCACCACAAGUUUGGUGAUUUUUCUUUUACUAAUUUUUUUUAUUUUAGCUUAUCUUUUAUUUAGUUUUUAGUUAACCUUAAAUUUUUCCUAGAAUUGUAUUUCUUUUGUUUUCUUUGUUUUUGUUUCAGUGAUCUUUAGUUGUGCAUGCCCUAUUGGAUAAGAGAUAUUGAGGGAAUACUUGUGAAGAUUGAAACUCCUCGAGAAACUGAGUUAGAAGUGUGCUUGAACAUCAUGGAUGUUCCACCUGAAGACCAGAAUAGCCAACAUGGUUAAGAGGAUAAUUUCAACACAUACCGAUCCAUGAGGAACCGCAUACAUCCACCUUGUAUGAGUGCACCGUCAGGCAUAAUGCCUCCCACUGAGCAGCUAGUAAUCUGACCUCACAUUGUGCCACUCCUACCUACUUUCCAUGGGAUGGAGAGUGAGAAUCCCUACUCGCAUAUUAAGGAAUUCGAGGAGGUUUGUAAUACAUUCCAAGAAGGAGGAGCUUCAAUUGACUUGAUGAGGCUCAAGCUAUUUCCUUUCACUUUGAAGGAUAAGGCCAAGAUUUGGCUUAAUUCUUUAAGGCCAAGAAGUAUCCAAACUUGGAUUGAUUUGUAAGCCGAGUUUCUUAAGAAGUUCUUCCCUACCCAUAGGACCAAUGGUUUGAAAAGGCAAAAUUUGAACUUCUCAGUUAAAGAGAAUGAGAAAUUCUAUGAGUGUUGGGAGAGCUACAUGGAAGCUAUUAACGUUUGUCCUCACCAUGGCUUUGACACAUGGCUCUUAGUGAGCUAUUUUUACAAUGGUAUGUCUUCUUCAAUGAAGCAACUCCUAGAAACUAUGUGUGGAGGAGACUUCAUGAGUAAGAAUCCGGAGGAAGCCAUGGACUUUUUGAGUUAUGUGGCUGAAGUUUCAAGAGGAUGGGAUGAACCAAAUGCUAGAGAGGUGGGAAGAAUGAAGUCUCAACCUAAUGCUAAGGGUGAGAUGUAUGUUUUGAAUGAAGACAUUGACAUGAAAGCAAAGGUUGCAGCUAUGGCAAGGAGAUUGGAAGAGCUAGAAAUGAAGAACAUACAAAAAGUGCAAGCCAUUUCUGAGACAUCAAUGAAAGCUAUGCCUUGUUCCAUUUGUCAAUCUUAUAAGCACCUAGUGGAGGAGUGUCCUACAAUUCCAGCAGUGAGAGAGAUGUUUGGUGAUCAAGCAAAUGUUAUUGAUCAAUUCAAGCCUAAUAACAAUGCUUCAUAUGGCAACACCUACAAUUCAAAUUGGAGGAACCAUUCAAAUUUCUCUUGGAAACGAAAGCCACCUCAAUACACACAACCUACUCAAGCACCUUAGCAAUCCUCGAAUCUUGAACAAGCUAUUGUGAACCUUAGCAAGGUUGUGGGAGACUUUGUGGGAGAUCAGAAGUCCAUCAAUGCUCAACUGAAUCGGAGAAUUGACAGUGUGGAGAGUACAUUGAACAAAAGGAUGGAUGAGAUGUAAAAUGAUCUGUCUCAAAAGAUAGACAAUGUCCAAUACGUAAUCUCAAGGCUUACCAACCUCAACACAGUGUAAGAGAAAGGAAAGUUUCCUUCUCAACCUCAUCAAAAUCCUAAGGGUAUCCAUGAAGUAGAGGCUCAAGAGGGAGAAUCUUCAAAGGUGAGGGAAGUCAAAGUAGUUAUCACCUUGAAGAGUGGUAAAGAGGUUGAUCAACCCACAUCCAAGCCAAAGCAUAAUGAAGAGAGUGUAGCAGAAAAAGAAAAGAGAGGAAAAUAAAGGAAUUAGAAUAGAGAAAAAUACAAAGAAAGAUGACCAUGAGUCUAGUGUGGAUGAAGAGCCCGAGAGGAUGGUGAUCAAGGAAGAUAUGAUGAAGAAACACAUGCCUCCACCUUUCCCCUAAGCUUUGCAUGACAAAAAAAGAACCAAUAAUACAUCAGAAAAUUUUGAAGUAUUGAGGCAAGUGAAGGUCAAUAUCCCUUUGCUAGACAUGAUCAAACAAGUGUCGACAUAUGAAAAAUUCUUGAAGGACUUGUGCACUGUAAAGAGAGGGUUGAAUGUGAACAAGAAAGCUUUAUUGACCGAGCAAGUGAGUUCCAUCAUACAGUGCAAGUCCUAGUGAAGUACAAAGAUCCGGGUUGCCGUACCAUCUCAGUGAGUAUUGGAAGGACUUGUGUGGAGAAAGCUUUGUUGGACUUGGGAGCAAGUGUGAAUUUGCUAUCCUACUCUGUCUAUAAGCAGUUGGGAUUUGGAGAGUUGAAGCCAAUAUCCAUCACUCUAUCUCUAGCGGAUAGAUCAAUGAAGAUUCCAAGAGGGAUGAUCGAAGAUGUCCUGGUUCAAGUUAACAAAUUCUACUAUCCAGUAGAUUUUGUUGUUCUUGAUAUGGAUCCGGUUGUCAAAUGAACUAAUUAUGUUCCUAUCAUACUUGGAAGACCCUUCCUAGCUACAUCAAAUGCAAUCAUCAAUUGUAGGAAUGGAGUCAUGCAACUCACAUUUGUCAACAUGACAUUAGAGCUCAACAUCUUCCAUUUGUACAAGAAGCAUAUCCAUCAGGAGGAAAAAGAAGGUCUAGAGGAAGUGUGAAUGAUUGACACUUUAGUGGAAGAGCAUUGUGAUCGAGAAUGCAAAAAGAUUUAGUUGAGAAUUUUGGGGAUCUUGAUGAAAGGUUACUUGAACCCUCAGAUUUGCUUGCUACCCUACUCCAUUGGAAGAGAAGAGAAGAAAUUCUACCCUUAUUCAAUGAGGAGGAGACGCAAAGAGCUGCAAAGGAGAAACCCCCAAAACUUAUUCUUAAGCCACUACCCACAGAGUUGAAGUAUGUAUACUUGGAAGAAGACAAGAAGUGCCCUAUUGUUAUAUCUUCAACUCUUACCAUUCAUCAGGAGGAUUGUCUACUUGAAGUCCUUAGAAGAUGUAAGAAGACAAUAAGGUGGCUAAUUUCUUAUUUGAAAGGGAUCAGCCCUUUAGUCUGCACCCAUCAUAUUUACAUGGAGGAUGAAGCUAAGCUAAUUCAUCAACCUCAGAGAAGGUUGAACCCUCACAUGCAAGAGGUGGUUCGAGCUGAAGUUCUGAAGCUACUUCAGACCAGUAUUAUUUACCCCAUAUCAAAUAGCCCAUGGGUGAGUCCUACUCAAGUUGCGCCAAAGAAGUCUGGGAUCAUGGUGGUGCAAAAUGAUAAGGGAGAAGAUGUCUCUACACGCCUCACUACAGGUUGGAGGGUGUGUAUCAAUUACAGGAGGUUGAAUGCAGUGAUAAGAAAGGACCAUUUCUCAUUGCCCUUUAUUGAUCAGGUGCUUGAGAGGGUCUCUGGGCUUUUUUUUUUAUUGUUUCUUGGAUGGCUACUCCGGGUACUUUCAGAUAGAAAUUGAUGUUGAAAACCAAGAUAAGACCAUUUUCACAUGCCCAUUUGGAACCUAUGCAUAAAGGAGAAUGCCUUUCGGCUUAUGCAAUGCACCCGCAACUUUCCAAAGAUGCAUGUUAAGCAUUUUCAGUGAUAUGGUGGAGCGUAUUAUGGAAGUCUUUAUGGAUGAUAUCACCAUUUAUGGAAGUGCAUUUGAUGAAUGCUUGGUCAACUUAGAAGCUGUUCUGAACCGAUACAUUGAGAAAGACUUAGUGCUUAACUGGGAGAAGUGCCAUUUCAUGGUACACCAAGGGAUUGUCCUUGGGCACAUUAUCUCCAAGCAAGGCAUUGAAGUUGACAAAGCAAAGGUUGAACUCAUUGUUAAGUUGCCAUCCUCAACAAAUGUCAAAGGAGUAAGGCAAUUCUUUGGCCAUGUCGGGUUCUAUAGGAGGUUUAUCAAGGAUUUCUCUAAGCUUGCAAGGCCUCUUUGUGAAAUAUUGGUGAAUGAUGUUAAAUUCAUAUGGGAUGAUGGAUUUGAAAGGAGUUUUGAAGAAUUGAAGCUAUUUUUGACAACCGUACCAAUAGUGAGGGCUCCCAACUGGCAACUGCCCUUUGAAGUAAUGUGUGAUGUCAAUGAUUUUGCUAUAGGAUUUUUUCUUGGGCAAAGAGAAAAUGGAAAACCUUAUGUGAUCUACUAUGCGAGGAAGGCAUUGAAUGAGGCACAAAGAAACUACACAACCACCGAGAAAGAAUUGUUAGCUGUAGUUUUUGCCUUGGAUAAGUUUCGCGCUUACUUGGUGGGGUCCUUCAUCAUGGUUUUUACUGAUCACUUUGCUUUGAAGUAUCUGUUGACUAAGCAAGAUGCUAAAGCAAGGCUGAUUAGAUGGAUUCUCUUACUUCAAGAGUUCAAUCUCCAUAUCAAAGAUAAGAAAGGAGUGGAGAAUGUGGUAGCAGACCACAUUUCAAGGCUAGCUAUCGCACAUAAUUCCCAUGCUUUGCCCAUUAAUGACGAUUUUCUAGAGGGGUCUCUCAUGUUGGUGGAAGUUGUCCCUUGGUACGCUCACAUUGCUAACUACCUGGUCACGGGAAAAGUUCCAAGUGAGUGGAAAGCACAAGAUAAGAAGCACUUCUUUGCAAAAAUUCAUGCCUACUAUUGGGAAGAGCCAUUUCUAUUCAAGUAUUGUAUGGAUCAGAUAAUAAGGAAGUGCGUUCCUGAAGAAGAGCAACAGGGGAUCCUUAGUCAUUACCAUGAAAAUGCAUGUGGAGGCCACUUUGCUUAUCAAAAGACAGCCAUGAGGGUGUUGCAAUCGGGUUUCUGUUGGCCAUCACUUUUCAAAGAUGCCCACACCAUGUGCAAGAGUUGUGAUCGAUGCCAGAGGCUUGGGAAGUUGACACGCAGGAACAUGAUGCCUUUGAACCCCACUUUAAUAGUUGAUAUUUUUUAUGUUUGGGGCACUAACUUCAUGGGACCUUUCCCUAUGUCUUUUGGCUACUCUUACAUCUUGGUAGGAGUAGAUUAUGUUUCUAAGUGGGUUGAGGCAGUCCCAUGCAAACACAAUGACCAUAGAGUGGUUCUCAAGUUUCUUAAAGAGAAUAUCUUCUCAAGAUUUGGGGUGCCCAAAGCCAUAAUUAGUGAUGGGGGUACUCAUUUUUGCAACAAGCCUUUUGAAACUCUCCUAGCCAAGUAUGGGGUGAAGCAUAAGGUAGCUACACCUUACCACCCUCAAACUCAUGGACAAGUUGAGUUAGCAAACAGGGAGAUUAAAAACAUAUUGAUGAAGGUGGUGAACACAAACAGAAAAGAUUGGUCAGUCAAGCUUCUUAAUUCACUAUGGGCAUAUAGAACAACUUACAAGACCAUUCUCGGGAUGUCUCCUUAUCGCCUAGUUUAUGGCAAAGCAUGCCAUCUCCCUGUGGAAUUGGAAUACAAAGCUUGGUGGGCAAUCAAGAAGCUCAACAUGGAUUUGAGCAGAGCUGGGUUGAAGAGGUUCUUAGACCUUAAUGAGAUGGAGAAAUUGAGAAAUGAUGCCUACAUCAAUUCAAAAAUUGCAAAAGAAAAAUUGAAGAGGUGGCAUGAUCAGUUGAUUUCCCGCAAGGAUUUUCAAAAUGGACAAAGAGUCUUACUUUAUGACUCUAAACUCCACAUCUUUCCGGGCAAGCUGAAAUCAAGGUGGAUAGGUCAUUUUACCAUUCACCAAGUGCAUUCAAAUGGAGUAGUGGAACUACUCAACUCCAACAAUAUCGAGAACUUCAAAGUGAAUGGCCACCGUCUCAAGCCCUUUGUGGAGUCUUUUUCUCACAACAAGGAGAAAUUCAUCCUCCUUGAUCCACAUCAAGCUUAACAAGACCAAUUUUCUUGAUGGACUUAGUCUUUCUAAAGACUAUCGAGUCCAUAACUUUUUGUUUUAUUUUUUAUUUGAGAUUUUUUCGGUAUUGUUACUUGUUUUGUUUUUUAUUUUUCGUUUUAAUUUUAUUUGGUUUGAUUUAACUUAGGUUUUUGAUGAUCAAUUACAGGGGGGAUUUCAAAUAGAGGAAAAACCAAGAUAAUUCGCACACCCUACGAAAAUUUCGCAAGGCAUGCGAAAUUUAUGGCUUAUUUUGCAUGGGGUGAAAAUUUUCGUACAUCUUACGAACCAAUUUCGAACACUUUGCGAAAAUAAACCAACCCUGCGAAAUCAUUUCGAUUACUCUACGAAAUUUUCGUAGAGCAUGCGAAAAAUUUAGCACACCAAACACCAUUUCGCAUACUAUGCAAAAACCUAAGGGGUCUGCGAAACCAUUUCGCACCUCCAAAUCCAUUUCGCACAUUGUGCGAAAACCAAGAGGCGCUGUGCGAAAAUGAAAAGUCGCCCUGUCAUCCCUUUUUAAACCCCUCGAGCCCUAAAAUCUCCAUUUCGCAAGCACCCCUGUCCUUGCGAAUCCCUCAUUUUCCUCUACUACCUUGCAACCUCGUCCCUUUCCAUUUGAUAUUGUGCCCCGCGCACAUCUCAUUUCAGAGACUCGCACUCCGCGCCCCCUCAAAGCAUGGACUCGAGACCCACCUUCCAUUUCCGACGUGGCACGGACCCAAGGAGCCCUUUCUGCCCCUUCACUAAGACACACACCAAGGCAGAAAGCCUCCUUUGCUCAAGUGCCUAGUGAUUCUCCAUCUUAGGCCUCAGAGGCCUCGGAGGCCCCGUGGAUUCCACCUUCCGAGGGUAGAGCAGCCAUUGGUCCUUCCUCUUCUACUCCUUAGCGUAGAUACGAGACGAGGAGACCACCUACUACACAAGGGGCGACUACUUCGAGCCUUGAGAAUUCAGUACGAUGCCUUCCUGCCAAGAGGGUCAAGACUUCAGGUCCAAGUGAGUCAUCCAGAGCUUCAUAGCCUAAGCCUCCUGUAGAUUCCAAGGUUCCUACUGACAUAUCACCGGAGUCUAUUAUCAGAAGCCCGAUGCUCAUAGCACCGCCCAUUGAGGGCAACUCAGAUUAUAGAGCGAGAUCUUUCCACUUGGAGCUAUAUUUUGAUCAGGAGGCCAUACGACAGCAGCCUGAGCUCCGAGACUCUUAUGGCUUACUGCAGAGGUACCAUCUUGAGGAACUUAUGACUCCUCGUGAGUUUUUUUAUCCCAGAGUAGCACUAAACUUUUACCAGUCCAUGACUACUCGUGGCGUCCCGAGUCCUACCACGAUUCACUUCACCAUUGAUAGACGUCAUGGUAUCCUCAAGGCCAGACAUAUUACAGAGGCUCUACAAAUUCCUUUCGAGCUAGAGGAUCCAUCUGUUUUUCGCUAAUGGUCCCCAGUAUCUCAGAGGGACAUGGUCCGUAUUUUAUCUAGGGGAACAUCUACAGAUUCGAUCUUUCUACGGAAGGAGCUUCGACCUGGGAUGCUCCUCUUAGAUGUGGUGCUAUGCUCCAACCUCUUUCCCUUACAACAUUCGGUACAUAGGUGAUGAGCUAUUUUGGACGCUUUAUUCCGUAUAUCAGAGGGCUUCUACUUUGGCCCGCACCACUUGAUCAUGGUCUCCCUCAUCCACUUUGAGGAGAAGGUUCAUAGGAAGAAGCUUCAGAGGGUGGACACCAUUCCAUUACUAUUCCUGAGGUUACUUUGCCAGGUCUUGGAGUACAUGGGCUUUCCUACUGAGCCUCGGCUCGAGCUUUGCCGCCUUUGUCGAGAGUGAUCCACUCUCGACAAAUGGAAUUAGUUGGCGGGCUAUUCUGCACCUCCAGGAGCCCCUCCCAUGGUAGCACCUCCAAUGUCCCCACAGGCAAAGUAGGGCGAGCUCCCGGCAAAGACUGUACCACCAAUGCCCACACUUGAGGCUAUUUCUGCUGCUCUGCCUAUGACUCCUACUGUUCCACCAGUUGGUCCUUUUACAUCCGAGCCUUCCAUCACCAUCUCGGCUUCGGAGUUUCGCGCCCUUGUGCAUACCUUUCAGACACUCACCACCACACAUACUCCUCUCUUCUAGCAAAUGGUUGAGAUGUGUGCCCAUCAGGACCGGAAGACUACUAUACUCUGCCAAAUUCAGCAGCACCUAAGACUUUUGCCUCAACCUCAACCUAACCAUCCCAUAUCAUCAGAGCCUCUAGCUCCAACUGAGGAUACUAUUCCACCUGAGAACACUACCACAGUAGAGGUCCGGUUUCCACCACCUUAAGAGGCCACCACAGCUACAUCAGAGGAUGUGUCAUCUCCACUUGAGGCUCCCACUACUUGAUCAUAGGACAUAUCUUUAUCUUAUUGUAUUUACAUAUUAUAUUACUAGAGAUUUGUCCUUGUUUUGAUACUUUAUAUUCUGGGAUUGGAUGUAUUGCCUGAUGAUAUCUCAAUUGUACUUUCUCAUAUUAAUAUAUAGACAUCAAUUUUUUUUAGUAUACUUAGCAUUUUUCUAUUUCCUCUACUCAUUACUCUUUUGUUUUUUUUUACUCAUGUGGUUUCUCUUAUACAACUCAGACUCCAUUUCACUCAGGAGGUACCACUUCCUCCCUUUAUUUUCAAUUGCUCUUGAAAUAUUGAGUGCAAUGUUGAUCUUGGUUGGGGGGAGAGUUGAGGAAGGAAGUUUUGUUAAUAAUGCUAGGUUAAUUUGUUAAUUUAGUUACUUUCUGCUUAAUUUUAAAAGUUUUCACUCUACUUUCCAUGGUUAUUAAGGAAAAAUUCUCAAAAUGAAAUGGGAGAAAUCGAAUUCUUGCAUUUUUACUUGAAUCUUAGAAUUUGUAUCAUGCUUAUUAAAGUUGAUGAAUUAUUGAAACUCCUAUUGAAUUCAACCUUAUUUUUUCCACUUUAAUCUUACCACACACGGUGCACAUUAGGUUCCAGUUAUAAGAUAAAAAACUAUCUCACCCCCUAAACUUAGAAAAAUUUACACUUGGUACCUUUGACAUCGUUUUAAUAGUGUUGGGACACCUUAUAAAAGGCCAAUGAGCCUUUAAAAAAAAAAAAAAAAAAAAAAAGAGAAAGAACAAAGUAUUGCACUUGCCUUGAAACCUGAGCAAGAUCCGAGGGGUAUACAGUGAAAGUCUUUAAAACCUGGUGCCCUAAGCCUUGAUUGGUUGGGAGUCACCGACCUCAAUGCUCGUUAUAAGGGUGAAUAGGUGGAGUUUAACAUAUUGUAGGUGCUUGGGUAUUGAAUUUCAAUCUCAAAAGUCCGGGAAAAAAUCUAAGGAGUUAGUGGUCAAAAGAUCCUUAAAGCUUGAUGCCCUAAACCUUGAUUGGUUGAGAGUCAUUGAUGGAUCCCCGCUACAUGGACAUUUUAGAAAACAAUACCUUUAGCAUUGCACGCCUACAAUGAAAAAAAAAUGUGAAAUAAAAGAGGUGCGUUCUUAGCCUAUUGGAGGUUGGUCAGUUUGCUAAAGUUUGAGAAAUCUAGGUUGGGGGGAGAGAAUAGUCCGACAUACUAUAAUAAAAAACUAAUAACCUUAACACUUAGAUUUUUGUGGAAGAGUAAGGAUUGGACCUUUAGGGGUGGAAAUUCUUUUGAUGCUUAAAUUUGCAUAAUGCCUACUCUUUAUAAAUUAUGAUUAGGCAAGAGAUUUGAUGACUCUUGUUCAAAGUUGGGUUUUUCCUCUUUGAUGUUCCAUGAGAGAGUAUAAUCCUCAUCAUGCCACUUGAAAUCUUUUUGGAGUGAUUAACAUGAUUUUGUAAAUUAUUUUACUGUCUAUUUUUCUUUAUCUCUCUUUUAUUGCUAAUGGACUAGCAAUAUGUCAGUUGGGGGGAGUGAUUACUACUCAAAAAGUACUCUUUUAUAGCUUGAAACUAACUGUUUUAAACACUUUUGAGUAGGUGUUAAUACAUUUUAACUCAAUUGGCACAUUAAGGAACCUAACAAGGGUUACUAAUAAGUUUUUGGCAAGUUUUGGUGUUUUUGGUAGCUAUUUGAUCAUUGAAACAAGCCAAGAAUGAGGGAGAAUUUUGUGAAGUCCAUAGCAAUGCAAGUUAAAGCUCAAAUACAUGAAGAAUCCAAGCUUUGAAGCACUUCAUAGCCCUUUGCGAAGCCAAUCAGAGAUGCAAGGAAGAAAACCAGAGGAAAAAAUCCAACAACCAGCAUUUUCGCAUGGCUGUGCGAAAUUUUGCACACCAUGCGAAACCACAAGAAGUAGCCAAAGAAUUUUGCACACCAUGCGAAAUUUCGCAUGGUAUACGAAAUCUUCCUAUGCACCAACUCCGUUAUAUUUUUAUCUUCAGAUAUUUUGUGUAAUUUCCUAGUUUCUCCUUGUAACCAACCUAGAUAUUUUCUUUUAUAUCUUUUUUUUAUAUUUUUUAGGUAACAUCAUAUAUAGGGGGAGAGACAUAAGGAGGAUAUGGAUGUUUUUCAUAAAACACUUUUAAUUUUCUGGUAGUAAGAAAUAUACAAAGUUUUUUGCUCUGCCUUACCUUCUCAUUUUGUUUUCACCUAUCUUUCUAGCCAAACAACCUCUGAGAAUGAUUUCUCAGGGGAUGAGUAGUUAGGUUUUACGUUUCUUGGAGUGAGAGAAGCUAGGUGAAAGACCCAAAUGCUAAGGUGGGAGUUGUCCUUGCUUUAAAUGAAAGUAGUUGUUAAAUAUUAAUGGUUUUUAUUUUAAGGUUUAGCUUUAAAUCCCUUAAAAACACCUUGAAUGGCCAAUACUUGGUAAGCUUUUCGGAUUCUAUGGAUGCUUAUUGCUAGAUCCAUGGAUGUCAUUAGUUAUCAUUUAUGAGCCAUUGGAAGGUGGUUCAAGAUGAGAGUCUUUAGUGUUUGAAGCCAUUAAUGGGAAACAAUUACCAUUUUUUCAUGAAUCCUUUGGAUAAAAUCUUAAUUGCUAAAUAUAAAACUGGUUCGGGAGAUAACCAUCCUUUAUGUUAUUAUGCCCAAUGCAAGGAGAAGAUUUCGAAUCUUCUCAUUUGUCUAAGGAACCCGAUCCUAGUGACCUAAAGCUCCUAGAGACCUUUUCUUUGUAGUUAACUUCAUUUAUUGUUUUUGCUUAACUUAAAAUCAAUCUUUGCAACCACAAUUCCAUUUUCUUUAAAAGCUAAUUUUUAUAAGGAAAAGCACCAUUUUAUUUCCUUCACUAAGUCAACUGUAUGAUGAAAACCCAUCCCUGUGGACGAUCUUAGAGCCACUAUACUAUGUUAUCUAUGCUAUCCUAGUGUGAGGUGAUUUAGGUUUUAUAAAUUUUGUUGAUAACACCCGUCUGAGCCAGAAUCAAAUGGAACCACUGAACCAGGGACAAAUCAACAGCCUAUAUGGGAGGGACACAAGUUUAAUUGAUUUGCAUUUCAGCGUUAUAGAUAAGUAUGUUUUGGAAGAUUUGUUCUGGAAAUACUGCACCAAGUACGAUUCUUUUUCUCUUGAGUGAGUCCAUUUGCAUGCCAAUUAACGAGUUGAAAAGUAGGAGCACCUACCUCGUGCUCAUGGAACCGAAUGUCAGUGAAGUGGGGCUCCUUUUAGCCUCUUGUGUUUCUGUUCCAACCAAGGCGGCGUAGGGAAAAACAACAAUAUGUCUGUGCUAAAUAUCAACGCAUGAUAGAUGUUUUUUUUUUUUUUUUUGGUAUGUCAAGGCUAACGAAUGAAAUGCAUUAGCUUGUUUUGUGACUAUAACUGCAAAUGUCCAAAUUGGAGUAUCUCCAUUUCUCACUUCGGAUGGUUAACUUUAUAAACAAGAUAUAGGAAACAUGUGAACAUCUUGAGGAACAAUUCAAAUUAUUCAUUAGAAGUCCUGGGUUAAGUUCCAAGAUUUAAAUCAGACCCUUCUAGCAGCUUCAAGGGUACUUAGCAACCUAUAACAUAUUAAUGAAGAUUUAGGAUUUAGACUCCGGAAUACAAAUAAAUAUGUAUCUCAUGCUUUGACUAGCUUCCCUACAUAUGCAUAAAAUGGAGAUGACCCAAAAAAAAUAGCAGAAUCUAGCUUCCCUACAUAUGCACAAAAUGGAGAUGACCCAAAAAAUAGCAUAAUCGCCUUAGUUUCUGUGGUUAAGGUGAUUCUCCGCUUAAUAUCCACAUUGACUCAUUAUGCAAAAUCAACUGAGCUAAUUUUAUUUAUUUAUUUAAUGUCAAAUAGGAACUCCUAAUUAACUGAUUACUGUCGAAAAGUGCUAUUUUGUAGACCUAAUUAUAAGGGUUUUAAGCACCUUUGAGUAGUAAUCAUAUUCAUUUAACCUAAUUAAUUCAUUAAGCUCCUUAGUAAUUAGUUCUAACCAUUUUUAGUGGCAAGUUUACAUGUUUUUCAUCAGCUUAUGAACCAAUUCAAGCAUGCCAAUUGAUGGAGGAGCUACUUGGGCGAGUUAAGCAAGGAUUUUGGACGUUUACAGGCUUGAAUUUCAAGUGGAAACACGAGCACAAGCAAUGGGAACACCAUUUCGCAAGGGGAGGCAAUUCACCUUGCCAAAUGACCAAUUUCGCAAGGGGAUUUUCCUCAUGGUGCAAAAUUUGGUCAUUUCGCACCAUGAAGAAACCACCUUGCAAAAUUUCGCAAGGUGGAUUUAGGCACCUUGCGAAAUGCCAAAUUUCACAAGGUGGCUUUUCACCUUGCGAAAUUUGGACCUUUCAUCUUCCCCCCUUGCGAAAUGCCUUUGAAAUCCCCUGUUUUGAGACGCUGUUGAUGAUAUUCCACUGCCGGUUCUCCAAGAUAUUUUGCUUGACUUUUAGCUUUAUAAAUACCUAUUUUACCCUUGUAAUCAACCAAUGAAAAGGUUGCUUUUGUAAUAGCUCUUGUAAUUUAGCUUUUUAUUGUCUUUAAAUAGAGGUGAAGAGCCUCAGACACGAUCAUCUUGUAACCUGUAACUUUAUAAGUUAUAAGAGCACUUUUGUUCAUACGCUUCUUUUCUCUUUUCUUUCUCAUUUUCUUAGUAGCCAAACAUCCUUGGAGGAUGAAAUCCCCAAGGAUGAGAGGCUAAAACCUUUUAGUUUCUUGAAGUAAUGGAUGCCAUGUGAAGCUCCCGUGUCAGGAUGGAGAUUUCCAAGCCAUAAAUGUAAGUAGCUGAGCGUCAUAAAUGUUUUCAUUCAAAGUAAAGCUUUUAAUCCCUCUGACUUGCUUUGAAUGGCCAAUACUUGAUAACCUUUUGGUCUCAAUGGAUUCUUAUUGUUAGAUCCACUGACGUUCAUUAGUUAUCUCCUACGAGCCAUUGUAUUGCAAGUCGAGGAGAUGACCUAUACCAAUAAAAGAGCAUUUAUGAGGUUCAACUACCCUUUUUGUAAGUUUUCAAGGACUAAAACUCAGUUGUUAAACUCAUACCGGUUCGAGAAGUAAGCAUCACCUUAGUUGCUUCCCCAACUCGAGGUGAAAAGUCCCAAAAUCUCCAUUUUUACACAGUGAGUUAAGCAUGGCUAUCCAAAGCUUUAAGAAACUUCUUUUUCCAUCUUUUAACCUAUUUUCAUGUUAGUUUAGUUUACAACACCUUCAUCUUUUUAUGUUUUCAUCUUAACCUAAUUUUUAUUAAGAAAAGUUCACUCCAUCCUCCGAACUUCACCAGUUAAAGUAAAAACCCUUCCCAGUGUUCGAUCCUAGAGCCACUAUGCUAUAGUAGCUUUGCUACUUUAGUGUAAGGACCUUAGGUAUAAAUUUUGUUGAUACCCUUACAUGCCAAGCUACCAAGAGUCGGGUUAUCAUUAACCUAACCAUUGGCCUGUGUAAAUUGAUUUCACAUGCACAAUGUUGUAGUAGAAGUCCAUAUUUUGAAUUUUAUUUUUGUAAAGGUAAGGAAAAUGAAGCAUUGUGUAAUUAUAAAAAUAACUUCAUUGGAAUUCACAAGGUUCACCCAAAAUGGAGCUACAUCUGUAUUCUAUCCUACAGUAGACUAUAUAGAUUGUACAAUAGUAAAUUGCAAAUACAAUUAAUAAGUCUUGUGCUUCCUUACUAAUAAUCCUUUGACAUGAACAUUGCAGCACUAAGGUCCUCUUGGGAAGACACCUUGCACCCAUGAGAGCACUAAGAGGAAGCAAGGCAGAGUCAUGGGUGCAAUGUCAUGACUUGUUGUUGCACCAAGAGAGGCUUGGUGAUGCCAUGGUGUUGCAGUAGCAAGAAUGUUGCCUUGGCAGGGACACGAUCUAGGGAUAGAUGCCAAGAAAGGCUUAGCACUCACAUGAGUUGCACAAAGAUGAAUGUAAUAGAGCAUCAGAGAGACGUCUUGGCAAGUAAAUGAAUGGAUCCAAGAGACAACAACAUGAGGAGUUUCAAAUGGAUAAGGAAUGACUCAAAGACAUUUGAAAGCUACAAGUUGGAUUCUAAUUACGAUUGCAAUUUGAGUUUGAGUAGGAGUUUAGAUUUUGAUUGUAAUUGUAGUAUGAGUUGGACUAGGAUUGCUUAUCCUUAGUCAAUAUAGGAGCGGUUCGUGUCACCCUAUGAAAAGAGUUUGAGUAGGGACUAGGAUUGCUUACUCCUAGUCAAAUAUGGAGUAGGUGGUGCCACACCUAUAAAAAAAAGGGACAACAUGAGAGAGAGAGAGAGAGAGAAAGAGAGAGUGAAUUCACUAAAGAUAUUGUGGGAGUUUUGCUUUGUUACGUCUUGUAUUAUUACUUAGAAUAGGAAUAAAAUACAAGUUGGGGCUAGAGCCCCAUAAUUAAUCUCGUGUGCCUUUGUGGUUAUUCUUUAUUUGUCAUCUCGUGUGGAUUGGAUUAGGUUGACUUAGAGGGCUUCUAAGCACCACCUUUGUGGGUUAUUAUUUAUUUUCCAUCUCUUGUGGAUUAGAUUAGGUUGACUUAGAGGGCUUCUGAGCACCACCUUUGUGGGUUAUUAUUUAUUUUCCAUCUAUUGUGGAUUAGAUUAGGUUGACUUAGAGGGCUUUUAAGCACCACAUUUGUGGGUUAUUCUUUAUUUUCCAUAUCGUGUGGGUUGGAUUAGGUUGACAAGGAGAAAAAUUAUGUGGGAAAUUUGUGUUGGGACACUUACCAUAACCAAGUAAAAUCUACCAAGUCCUUUGUAAUAUCUUCAACAAAUAUUUUAGACUAGUUCUUUCAGUUAGUGUAAAGGAGGAAGAAGUGGUAUUGAUUCUAGAAAUAGGGUGUGUGUAUUUGAACUACAAUCCUUAUGAUCCUUAGGUCUCUAAACCUUCGUGAUGGGCUCCCUGACAUUUCAUAGGUUGUGCUACACAUGCGUUUGAAAUUUAGAGUGCGUUUGACAGUGAUUCCGGGAAGUGUUUUUGGCCUUUCUUACACUUGAAAAUUUUUAUUUUUCAAGUAUUAGAAAUGCUACAAACACUUUUGAAAAUUACUGUCAAACACACUCUUAGGAGCGCACAUAUAUAGUAGAAAACUAGAAAUUGUGGUUUUUUUAGGAUUUACUGUAAUGUCAUUAGGAGGGUAGUAAGUUGAAAUUGAGUAUGAACAAAUAUUUCUUUCUUUGGGAUGUUCUUCUAGUAGGUGCUGAUGAAACUGUUCUUUCUACUGCCAAUGUCACAUAUCAGCCAGAAAUUGAAAAUUUCAGUCAAGGUGUCCUCUGUUUUAGUGGUGAGGAAAGCUAGAAAUUUUAAGGUGAAGUUUUGUUAAAAACCUUAAGUAGCUGGGAUAUCAGGCCUGUUUUGCUUGAAAAAAAAAGUUGCAAGAUAACUCAUAUGCCAAACAGGUUCUGAUAUUGUGAAUCUAUCGGCAGACAUCAGUAAUCUCAUCUUCUGAGAUGGAUGUUGGGGGUGCAUGUGGUGGUGGAGGGGCAAGGUUUCAUUUGGUUUAUUUUGUUGAUGGAUAUUGUCUAGCCACCUGCGCCAAGUUUGAGGGGUGGUGGGUUGUGAUGACCCUACAAUUACUAUUAAUUUCUUCAUCUUUUACCGAUUAAAGUGUCCGAACAGUCGAAGUUACCCUUAUGCAUGUCAACUUGAUCACUUACCUCUUCAAUGGAGUUUAUGCUGGUUCAUUUAGGAACUGAUUUUUAUUGUUAUGUAUUAUAUGCUGAUGUUUAGGUCUCUCCAUCAUCACUAUAUACAAAAAUUCUAGGUUGAUACUAUAGGUUGAGAUUUAUUUUUUAAAUAAAAAAUAAUAAAAAUAAAAAUUAUGGUGAUGUUUAGUUGUUUUAUGGAAAAUUUUAACAAGUAAAAGUUAUUUUUGGGCAAGUUUUCAAACAAAAAGAAAAGUAAAAGUUGUUUUGACAAAAACAUAUAGAAAAAAAAAUCAUAGAAAAUAAAUAAUUUCCCCAUAUUCUAACUUUUUUGAAUUUUUCUCAAUGGGCAAAGGAAUAUCAAAUCAAGUUUGAGUAGGAUUUCUUAAUUUUUAAAAUAACUUACAAUUAAAAAAUUUUGGUGUUUUCAUUUUUGGACAAUUUUUUAUUAAGCAAAUGGACUCUGAGUCAUGCAAGAGAUAUGGUUCAUUAACCGGUCGAACAAUUUUUUUAAAUUAAUUUAAAAGUCAAAUACAUAAUCAAUUUCACAAAAUUUAUAAACAAAAAUAGGUUUAGAGAAGAUCUACACAUAAUUUUACUUUUCUAAUUUUAUUUUAUUUUAUUUUUUGUUGGAAAAUAGUCUUCAAAUCAUGUAAGAUUUAAUAGGUUAAAUUUGUUAACAAUAAAUUUUAAAUUAUAAAAUAUAAUCUGGAACUCAAAAAUCAAUUCAAGUAAUGCUAAAAAAAAAUCAAAUUUGGUAUAGAAUGACUUUGUAAAUUUUUUUACAAAACAAAUGAAUUUUAAAUCAAGUGAGAUUUAAUGCAUUAGAUUUUUAUCAAAUAUAGUAAUUUUAAAAAUAAAUUUGGAACUCAACAAUAGACACAAUAAAUACCAAAAAAUAAUGAACCAAAAUUGGUUUGGAAUAACUCCACAACCUUUUUUUUUUUUUUUUGGUGCACACGAAUUUUCUUACUAGGUAUAUUGCUUUCAAAUUGAGAAAGAUUUACCAUUUAGAUUUUUUUUUAAUGAGUUUAAUGGUAUUUUAAAAUAAUUCAAAAUUUAAAAAAUUGACUAAUUAAUAUUAUAAAUUGAUAAACCAAGACUAUUUCAAAAUGCAUUGGGGGCUAAGGGGGUUGAAAAUAGGGACAAUGGGAUGGGUUUGGGACAUGACACUCAUAUCUCAUUUCCAUUCCAAUUACACAGUUAUCUCCCAUCCUUAUCCCAAACUUGUGUUGGAGCAAGUUGAUUUGUUCCCAUCUUUGUUGACGAAAUGACUAAUAACCUCAUCCCCUCCUUAUCUUAGAUGUACAUUUUGUCAAAUUUGAUCAGGUAUGAUUGAUCCAAGCCCUAACCCUAAUUGGUAAUGAGUGAAUACUACACCUAAUUGCAUUCUUCUUUCAUUGCAAAAUAAUGAGAUUAUAAUAAUCUAGCAAAUAAGAAAAAAUAGUAUGGAAGUUCAAAUUAACACCAUAACUAUCAAUAAUUUUAAGCUUAUAGAUGACUUAAAUGAUUAAAAACUAAUGCAAAAUCCUAAAAAAAAUAAAAAUCAUAUAAAGAAUUCACAAGAGAACAGAAUGAACAAAAACCAAAUAUGAACAUGGGUCAACAUUAGUUAUGGAUUUGGAUUCCUUUCAAGGCCAAUCUUUGAACCAAGACUUCAUCAAAUCAACUACUUCAAAGGCUUUUGUGUUCUUCUUGGGUUGUGCUCUCAAACAAAGACUUCGAGGUGAUGUUCUAGAUGAUUGAAUUACACAUAUUUAGGGUGGAGAGAUUGGAGAAGCUUGAAGAUGCCAACGAUGGGUACAAUUGAGUGGUCAAUAAGAACAAUGUAGCCUAUGACUAGUUUGAUGUCAUGGUACAAGAGUUUUAGGCAUUGAGGUUAAAGCAAGAGCAACAUGGAAUUGAUUUCGGAGUCUUUCAGUUAGUGUAAAGGAGGAAGAAGUGGUGUUGAUUCUAGAAAUAGGGUUUUAAGUGGUGCGUGAUUACUACUCAAAAAGUGCUAUUUGAUAGCCUUUAAUUAAUCCUUUUUAACACUUUUGAGUAGUAGUUUAGGCCUUUUAACUCAAUUGGCAUGUUAAGGAUCCUUUAAAGCAAUUUUGAUCACUUUGUGCAAGUUUUGGUGUUUUUGUUAGUAUUUUGAUCACCAAAGCAAGUCAAGAAUGAGGAGAACUAUGAGGAAUCAUGGGCAAAGCUUAGAAUUCAAUUGCCAAGAGUGAAUCCGGAUUGCAAGGAGAAAAAGCAAAGAGAAUCUGUCAUGAAGCCUAUUCUUGAUGACAGUCGUAGCAGCCACUUUUGGAGCACUUUCUGAAGUCCAAAUGAUGCAAGCUAUAUACCAUUUCAAAGAUCAGGAAGUCAACAAUCCAAUGCUUCAAACGGUGCGCGAUUCGGAGUUGAAACGAAGAAGUUGCAGCCAUUACAAGCCAGUCACUCUAAAGUGUUGCGGAAUCAGCCUUUUGUUGCGAGAAUUUCGCAGCACUUUUGUACAGUAAGGUGUUUCUCCUUCUGACGAUGCACGAACCAUGCCGCGAGAGGGAAGCUAGGAACUUCAAGAUGGAAGCCAACUUUGCAGCCUGGUGAAGAUAGCUUGGUCUUGCGAAAUAAUUUCGCAGCCCUCUUGGGUGUCUGCGAAAUUUCGCAGGCACCACUUUUUUCCUGCGAAAUGGCUCCGGAAGCCUCCCGAAGCUUGCUACCGACAUUGGGAGAUAUUUUCCAUUAGAUUUUUGUUGUCUAAAUUCCAAAAUACUCCUUGUAAACCACCAAUUACAUGAUUCCUUAGUUUUUAAGUUAGUAAAAAGACCAAAUAUCUAUGUAAUAAUUAGUUUUAUAUUAGUUUGCUAUAAAUACCUCUCGGGAGCAUGUUCUCAGAGAGGAGUUCCUUCUGUAACCAUUUUGGUAAGCAAGUAAAGUCUUUUCUUUCUACUGCCUUACCUUCUCACUUUGUAUUUUCAUUUUAUUUCUAAGUUAUGAAUUCUCUGAGGAGCUUUCCCCAGAGAAUGAGUAACUAAACCUCCAAUUCCUUGGAGCUAAGGUUGCCGGGGAAGGUUCCAAGUGCAAGAAUGCAAAGCUCUGUGGUUUUAGCUAGUAAUGAAGAGGAAGUGAAAUCCUUUAGUGAUUUCAAUGUUUUUAGUUAACUUAAAACACCUUGGAGUCACCUGGGCCAACACUUGGUAAGGCAAGUGAUUUCCAACCGUGGAAAUGCACUAGUUUACCCCUUGCGAGCCUCUGGUAGGUGACUUCAAGGUAGGAUUUUCUGGAAUUACCAACACUUGGUAAGCUUUUGGACUCCUAGGAGACAUCCAUUAGUUAUCUCUUGCGAGUUUGUGAAGGGGAAUCCAAGGUUAAAGAUCACCUUGAAUGGUAAGUGCUCGUGAGAGGCAUGAACCAUUGCAAGUUGUAUCAGUGAGAGAAUUAAAGUGAAAUCUAAUUGAAGGAGUCUCUGUACAUCACCGGUUAGAGAAUUGACUAUAAGUUGAAUCUCUAAUGCGAGGAAAUGAACCAUCUGACCGGAGCUAUGUCUUUUGCAUGAGGAACCACCCCAGUGAACCUAAAUCUCCAAGGAAUGCUUUUCUUCCUAAAUUAUUCCAAACUUCUGUUAAGUUAGUUAGUUUAAGUCUAAACCUUUACCAAUCAAACUUUGUGUUUUAUUUCUUAAGCUAACCGUGAAAUGAAACAAAACCAAUUCACUUGGAAUUGGUAUCCUUGAUUGCUUGCAAAUCAUUCCCAGUGAACGAUCCUUAGAGCCACUAUACUAUAGUAGCUUUGUAUUUGCUACCCUAGUGUAUGGUGUUAUAGGUAUAAAUUUUGUUGAUCACUUCCUCAAUCAAGGAACACCAGCUGAACACAAAUCAGCUGAGACACCAAUUGGGCAUGAGUCAAAUGGCGCCGUUGCCGGGGAAUGAGUGUCAAGAUCAUUGUGAUACCAUUUUUGAGCACUUGUGAUUUUCAUCACAAGUUGGUAAAGUUUCUUUCACUUUACUAAUUUUCAUUCUCUCUUUGUUUAUUUACAAUCUAAGUUUAUCUUUUUAAAAUUUAGUCUAGUUUAAUUUUGCUAUUGUAGCCUUGUUUCUCUUGUUGUCCUCUGUUCUUGUUGUCCUCUGUUUUCAUUUUAGUUGCAGCUGAAUACUAGUUGUGUAUGCCAAAGUGGAUACGAGACAUUGGAGGUAGGCUUAUUAAGUGUGAUACACCUCAGAGAGGAGAAUUGGAAGUAAUCUUGAAUAUCAUGGAGGCUGCACCUGAAGAUCAGCAUAGUCACCAAGGUCGUCAAGACAAUCUCAAUGAAUUCAGAUCAAUGAGGGACCGUAUGCAUCCACCUCGUAUGAGUGCACCAUCAUGUAUAGUGCCCCCUACAGAGCAACUAGUGAUCAGACCAUAUCUUGUUCCACUUCUACCAACUUUCCAUGGGAUGGAAAGUGAGAAUCCGUAUGCACACAUCAAGGAAUUUGAAGAUGUUUGUAAUACAUUCCAAGAGGGAGGAGCUUCAAUUGAUUUGAUGAGGCUUAAGUUAUUUCCUUUUAAUUUAAAGGAUAAGGCCAAAAUUUGGCUUAAUUCUUUAAGGCCAAGGAGUAUCCGCUCUUGGACUGAUUUACAAGCUGAAUUCCUCAAGAAAUUUUUUCCUACUCAUAGAACAAAUGGCUUGAAAAGGCAAAUUUCAAACUUCUCAGCUAAAGAGAAUGAGAAAUUCUAUGAGUGUUGGGAAAGAUACAUGGAAGCUAUAAAUGCUUGUCCUCACCAUGGCUUUGAUACUUGGCUACUGGUGAGUUAUUUUUAUGAUGGUAUGUCCUCCUCAAUGAAGCAACUCCUCGAGAAAAUGUGUGGAGAAGAUUUCAUGAGCAAAAAUCCAGAGGAAGCUAUGGAUUUCUUGAGCUAUGUAGCUGAUGUUUCAAGGGGAUGGGAUGAACCAACUAAAGGAGAAGUGGGAAAGAUGAAGUCUCAGUUGAAUGCUUACAAUGCAAAGGCUGGGAUGUAUACUUUAAAAGAGGAUGAUGACAUGAAAGCAAAGUUGGCAGCUAUGACAAGAAGAUUGGAGGAGCUGGAGCUGAAAAGAAUGCAUGAAGUGCAAGCUGUUGCUGAAGCACCAGUGCAAGUGAAGUUGUGUCCCAAUUGUCAAUCGUUUGAACAUUUGGUAGAGGAAUGCCCUGCAAUUUCAGCUGAAAGGGAAAUGUAUAGAGAUCAAGCAAAUGUUGUUGGACAAUUCAGGCCCAAUAACAAUGCUCCUUAUGGAAAUACCUACAAUUCAAGUUGGAGGAAUCAUCCAAAUUUUUCAUGGAAGGCCAGAGCAACUCAAUACCAACAGCCGGAUCCACCAUCUCAACAAUCUUCAAGUAUUGAACAAAUAAUAGCUAAUCUCAGCAAGGUAGUGGGAGAUUUUGUGGGAAAGCAAGAAGCCACCAAUGCUCGAGUGGAUCAAAGAAUGGACAGAGUGGAUCAAAGAAUGGACAGAAUGGAGAGUAUGUUGAACAAAAGAAUGGAUGGAAUGCAAAAUGAUAUGAAUCAAAAAUUUGAUAACAUCCAAUAUUCAAUUUCAAGGCUUACAAAUUUGAAUACACUGCAAGAAAAGGGAAGAUUUCCUUCUCAACCUAACCAAAAUCCCAAAGGUGUCCAUGAAGUGGAAAGCCAUGAGGGAGAAUCAUCACAGGUGAAAGAUGUGAAAGCUUUGAUCACUCUAAGGAGUGGUAAGAAAAUUGAGCAGCCAACACCCAAGCCACAUGUUGAGAAAGAAGAAGAGAUGAAGAAAGGGAAGGAAAUGGAAGAUAAAGGCAGUGAGAUCAGUGAAGAAAAGAAGGACUCUGAUGCAACAAUGAAAGUAAUUCCAGAGAAGGAGCUUCUGAAGGAAGAAAUGCUGAAGAAAUCAACUUUUCCACCUUUUCCUCAAGCAUUACAGGGGAAAAAGGGGGUUAGAAAUGCAGCUGAAAUCCUAGAAGUAUUGAGGCAAGUGAAAGUUAAUAUUCCACUGCUGGAUAUGAUCAAACAAGUUCCAACGUAUGCAAAAUUCCUAAAGGACUUGUGUACUAUCAAAAGAGGGUUGACUGUAAACAAGAAAGCCUUCUUGACUGAGCAAGUAAGUGCAAUCUUACAGUGUAAGUCUCCUUUGAAGUACAAAGACCCUGGAAGUCCUACCAUUUCAGUCAUGAUUGGAGGAAAGGUAGUGGAGAAAGCCUUGCUAGACUUGGGAGCAAGUGUGAAUUUGCUUCCAUAUUCUGUCUACAAGCAACUGGGACUUGGAGAGUUGAAGCCAACAGCAAUCACUUUGUCUCUGGCAGAUAGAUCAGUGAAAAUUCCAAGAGGGGUAAUUGAGGAUGUAUUGGUUCAAGUAGAUAAUUUCUACUAUCCUGUAGAUUUUGUUGUUCUUGAUACAGAUCCUACUGUAAAGGAAGCUAAUUUAGUUCCUAUCAUCCUUGGAAGGCCAUUUCUUGCAACUUCAAAUGCAAUCAUCAACUGUAGAAAUGGGCUUAUGCAACUCACUUUUGGUAACAUGACACUGGAUCUAAAUAUUUUCUAUAUGUCUAAAAAGCAAAUCACUCCAGAAGAAGAAGAGGGUCCAGAAGAGCUAUGUAUUAUUGAUACUUUGGUGGAGGAGCACUGCAAUCAACAUAUGCAAGAUAAGUUGAAUGAAAGUUUUGUGGAUAUUGAGGAAGGUUUUUCUGAAUCUCCUAAUGGGCUUGCUACUCUACAAAGUUGGAGAAAGAUAGAAGGAAUUCUACCUUUGUUCAAUGAAGAAGAGGAGGCAGCUGUUGAAAAAGAAAUUCCAAAACUCAAUCUGAAGCCUUUACCUAUGGAGCUGAAAUAUACAUAUCUUGAAGAAAAUAAUCAAUGUCCUGUCGUAAUAUCUUCAUCUCAAACCAAGUCUCAAGUGAAGGAUGCAAGCUUCAAAUGGGAUCCGGGCAAACUGAAUCAGGAAGGGCAAAAAGUUUUGAUGUAUGACACAAGACUCCAUAUCUUUCCUGGGAAGCUCAAGUCAAGGUGGAUUGGUCCAUUUGUUAUUCACCGAGUAUAUUCCAAUGGAGUGGUGGACUUAUUGAAUUCCAAUGGCAAGGACAGCUUUAGAGUCAAUGGAUAUCGUCUUAAGCCGUUCAUGGAGUCAUUCAAAUCAGAAAAGGAGGCAAUCAACCUCCUUGAACCUCAAAAAGCCUAAGUGAAAUGGGUUUGCUGGACGUGGUUUUACCACAGUCCAAAAAUUUUUGUAAAUUUUGUAAAUUUUCAAGUUGUUUCCAUGCUUUUAAUCUUAGUUUUUGAUUUUAAAUCAUGUUUUUAGGUGUGUUUUAAUCGUUUUAUAUGAUCCCAGGCGGAAGAAAUUUCAAGGGGAUUGAAAAGAAAAAAAUCGGGUCGAAAUUGGAGCCGAAACAGAGCAAAAACAGGGGAAAAACAGAGCUCUGCGAAAUUUCGCAGGGUGAAGGAAACUUCUGCGAAAUUGGCAUUUUGCUGCCAAACCAUUCCGCAGCACUGUAGAAGCCUCUGCGAGUGUAUUUCGCAAUUGCGAAAGUGGAUUUGGCACACGAGUGCCACUUCGCAGCACAGUGACAUCAAUUUCGCAGCUGCGAAACUCACUGCGAAGUUGCUGCGAAAAUGGCAAGUUGCUGCGAAAUUGGCGUUUUGUUGCGAAACGUAAUCUGACCCCUGGGCUUCCGUUUUUCCUAUUUAUACCUGUCAAAAGUGCUGCGAAAAAGGUUUCAAAAAUUAGAGCACCAUUCUCGCAGCCCUUUCAUCUUCUUCGCCAAGCCACGCCGUCCGUUUCUCCGGUCGUCUUCUCCGUUUAGCAGCGCCGGCCAAAGAUCGAUAGCCCAAAAAUGGCACGAACGCGAGGGGCAAAGUCUUCAUCCCCUUCGAACCGCAAAAGGAGUCUGCGAAAGGAGCCAAGUUCAGGCUCUGUUCCAGAACCUGCUCCAAAGCCUUCGCCGUCGAGACCACAACCUUCUCCAGUGAAGCCGGCGCCACCAAAGCCGCCGGCAAGGCGAUAUUUAACCAGGUCAGGUGGUCAGCCAUUGAAGAAGAAAGCCAGAGUUGAGAGCUCUGAACCAAUCGAUUUGACUGAGCAAUCCCCUGAGAAAUCACCAAAUCCUUCACCGGUACAAAUUCCAGUGCCAUCACCGGUUCCCUCGCCAAUUCCCUCACCAGAAGCAACUCCAAUUCCAUCGCCGGUACCAUCUCCGGCACCCCAAGAAAAAGCUCAGGAGCCUCAAGCGCCAAUUCCAGAGCCCCAAAUUGCAGCUGAAGCACCUCUGGAAGAAGUGAUCCGAAGGCCAAUGCUGCCUCAGCCCCCAAUCGAAGGAAACCUGGAUUGCCGAACUCGGGCAUUCCAUUCUGAGCUUUGCUUCGAUUUAACAGCAUUCAGAGUGAGGCCAGAGCUUGCCCAAUCCUUCCAACUGCUGAGGAGAUAUCAUAUGGAGCAUCUGCUAGCUCCAAGGGAUUUUUUCUAUCCCCGGGUAGUCACGGAUUUCUACCAAACCAUGACAACCAAAGAAGUAAGAAAUCCAACUCUGAUUCAUUUCAUAAUUGAUGGAAGGCAUGGUAUUUUGGGAGCAAGACAUAUUGCUGAAGCCCUGCAAAUUCCUUUUGAGCCAACUCAAUUCGACAAUUUUAAAGCUUGGACAAAUCCUACUGAGUUAGAGAUGGUUAGCACACUAACCAGAGGAGCUGCAAAUCGAUCGCAUUUGUUGAGGGGGGAGCUACCUCCAGUUAUGUUUUUGAUUGAUGCCUUUUUGAGGCAUAAUAUCUAUCCCCUGCAGCAUUGGACCCAAAGAAGGGGAAUUCUCCUAGAAGCCUUGUACAAAAUGUCUGAAGGAUUCUUCUUUGGGCCUCAUCAUCUGAUCAUGGCAGCCCUUCUAUACUUUGAGGAGAAGGUUCACAAGAAGAAGCUUCAAAGAGCAGAUUGCAUUCCACUCCUCUUCCCAAGGCUGCUAUGCCAAGUUUUGGAGCAUCUCGGAUACCCCUCUGAGCCUCAGCAGGAAAGAAAGAGAAUAUGCCGUGAGCCUUUUACCCUUGAUAAAUGGAAUAAUAUGACGGCCUACAAAAUUGAUCAGCCUGGGCAGCCUCAGCCAGCAGCAAGGAGAGUCUCCCCAAGACAUAUACCUGAAGGUAUAACACUUGCUACUCCUGCCAUCCCUCGAGCUCCACCAGCUGCACCUGCUCCAUCACAGCCAUCCACAUCAGCUGAGCCGAGGAUGGCCAUCCCUAUAUCCGAAUAUCGAGAGCUGUGCCGUGCAUUGGAGACUCUUACAGCUUCUCAGAGCAAUCUUGCUCAGGAGUUGGCAGCCAUUAAAGCAUGCCAGGAGCAGAUGUUAGCCUCUCAGACUCAACAAGCUGCCAUCCUAAGGCAGCUUCAAGUCCAUUUCGAUCUGCCACAAGCUGUAGAGCCCUCUAUUCCUACUCCACCAGAGCCACACUCUCAGCCUUCAGAGUCUCAUCCUCCAGAACCCGAAGCACCAGCUGAUCCACCUACUGAGGAGGCAGAUCCUUCUGCCUAGCACCAUCACCCCCCUCAUCAGACAUUAUAUAUAUAUUUGCUGUUUAUGUUUUUAUGCAUGUUUGUUUUGUUUUAGUUGAAAAGAAAUCCCAGUAUUUUGGUACUAUAUAUGGGAUUCCUUGUGUUACUUGUCUUUAGUAUUGUAAUCACAUGAACUCAAAGUAAUACAAGUUGACUAUUUCUUGUUAAAAGUUAGCAUUAAAGUUUCCUUAUUUCCUUUUCUCACAUAUUCUAUUCUUUUUGAAACAUGUGGUUUUCCCCAAUCAAUAUUCGAAUUUGAUAUCAGCAUGGAGGUACCACUUCCUCCCUUUUAUUACAGUCACUCAAAUCACAUUGAGGACAAUGCUCAGUUCGGUUGGGGGGUAUGAGGAAGGAAGUAUUCUAAACCUUUUUGGUAUUGCAAUUAUAUUGGUUAAUUAGUUGUAGAUUUUACUUUUUACUAGUGUUACUCUAUUCUCCAUGAAUUUUGAGGAAAAAUUUUCAAAUUAAACCAAGAGAAAUUGAACUGUUGUUUUUCACUUGACUUAGAGUAUGGAUUAUGCUUACUAAAGUGGUUCAAUUGUUGAAACUUCUACUGAAAUUGAAUUGAGUUCUUCCACUUUAAGCUAUCCACACACUGUGCACAUUAGUUUCCGAUUAUAAGAUGAAAAGCUAUUUCCCUCUUGACUUAGUAUAUUUUUGGGACUUGGUAUAUUUGACCUCAUUUGAUAAAAAUUGAAACACCCUGCAAAAGGCCAAUGAGCCUUUGAAAUAAAGAAAGUUGUUUGCUUGCCUUGAAACCCGAGCAAGGUCUGAGGGGUAUAUGGUGAAAAUCUUUAAAGCCUGGUGCCCUAAGCCUUAAUUGGUUGGGAGUCACCGACCUCAAUGCUCGUUACAAGGGUGAAUAGGUAGAGUUAGCAUAUGGUAGAUGCUUGGGUAUUAGAAAUUCAUUCUUAAAAGUCCGGGGAAAAAUCCGAGGAGUUAGUGGUUGAAAGAUCCUUAAAACUUGGUGCCCUAAACCUUAAUUGGUUGGGAGUCAUCGAUGGACCCCCAUUACAUGGACAAGUCAGAAAGAGUACCCCAUAAAGCUACCUUAAAAAAAAAAAAAAAAAAAAAAAAAAAAAAAAAGAUGAAAGUGUGUUCUUUUCUUAUUGAUUUUGGUCAGUUUGCUAAAGUGUUGAAAAGAGAUAGGUUGGGGGGUGAGAUUAGUAGCAUAUUAUUCUCGGAACCUAAGGAACCAAUACACAUAGAUUUUUGUGGAAGAUUGAAGUUUAGUUCUUAGAAAAUGAAAUGAUUUUAAAACUUCAGUUUGCAUAAUGCACUCCCUUGAUUGACAGUGUUUAGCAUAGGUGUUAUGACUCUUGUUGAGAUUUGGGUUUGUAUUUCUUUAAUGAUUCAUGUGAGAAAUAGAUCAUCAUGCCACUUGAGAAUUAUUUUCCUUUUAGCAUGAUGUUGUAAAUUUUAGAUUAGUUUGCUAUUUAUUUUUUAUUUUCUCUCCUAUAUUGCUAAGGGACUAGCAAUAUGUCGGUUGGGGGGAGUGAUUACUACUCAAAAAGUGCUAUUUGAUAGCCUUUAAUUAAUCCUUUUUAACACUUUUGAGUAGUAGUUUAGGCCUUUUAACUCAAUUGGCAUGUUAAGGAUCCUUUAAAGCAAUUUUGAUCACUUUGUGCAAGUUUUGGUGUUUUUGUUAGUAUUUUGAUCACCAAAGCAAGUCAAGAAUGAGGAGAACUAUGAGGAAUCAUGGGCAAAGCUUAGAAUUCAAUUGCCAAGAGUGAAUCCGGAUUGCAAGGAGAAAAAGCAAAGAGAAUCUGUCAUGAAGCCUAUUCUUGAUGACAGUCGUAGCAGCCACUUUUGGAGCACUUUCUGAAGUCCAAAUGAUGCAAGCUAUAUACCAUUUCAAAGCUCAGGAAGUCAACAAUCCAAUGCUUCAAACGGUGCGCGAUUCGGAGUUGAAACGAAGAAGUUGCAGCCAUUACAAGCCAGUCACUCUAAAGUGUUGCGGAAUCAGCCUUUUGUUGCGAGAAUUUCGCAGCACUUUUGUACAGUAAGGUGUUUCUCCUUCUGACGAUGCACGAACCAUGCCGCGAGAGGGAAGCUAGGAACUUCAAGAUGGAAGCCAACUUUGCAGCCUGGUGAAGAUAGCUUGGUCUUGCGAAAUAAUUUCGCAGCCCUCUUGGGUGUCUGCGAAAUUUCGCAGGCACCACUUUUUUCCUGCGAAAUGGCUCCGGAAGCCUCCCGAAGCUUGCUACCGACAUUGGGAGAUAUUUUCCAUUAGAUUUUUGUUGUCUAAAUUCCAAAAUACUCCUUGUAAACCACCAAUUACAUGAUUCCUUAGUUUUUAAGUUAGUAAAAAGACCAAAUAUCUAUGUAAUAAUUAGUUUUAUAUUAGUUUGCUAUAAAUACCUCUCGGGAGCAUGUUCUCAGAGAGGAGUUCCUUCUGUAACCAUUUUGGUAAGCAAGUAAAGUCUUUUCUUUCUACUGCCUUACCUUCUCACUUUGUAUUUUCAUUUUAUUUCUAAGUUAUGAAUUCUCUGAGGAGCUUUCCCCAGAGAAUGAGUAACUAAACCUCCAAUUCCUUGGAGCUAAGGUUGCCGGGGAAGGUUCCAAGUGCAAGAAUGCAAAGCUCUGUGGUUUUAGCUAGUAAUGAAGAGGAAGUGAAAUCCUUUAGUGAUUUCAAUGUUUUUAGUUAACUUAAAACACCUUGGAGUCACCUGGGCCAACACUUGGUAAGGCAAGUGAUUUCCAACCGUGGAAAUGCACUAGUUUACCCCUUGCGAGCCUCUGGUAGGUGACUUCAAGGUAGGAUUUUCUGGAAUUACCAACACUUGGUAAGCUUUUGGACUCCUAGGAGACAUCCAUUAGUUAUCUCUUGCGAGUUUGUGAAGGGGAAUCCAAGGUUAAAGAUCACCUUGAAUGGUAAGUGCUCGUGAGAGGCAUGAACCAUUGCAAGUUGUAUCAGUGAGAGAAUUAAAGUGAAAUCUAAUUGAAGGAGUCUCUGUACAUCACCGGUUAGAGAAUUGACUAUAAGUUGAAUCUCUAAUGCGAGGAAAUGAACCAUCUGACCGGAGCUAUGUCUUUUGCAUGAGGAACCACCCCAGUGAACCUAAAUCUCCAAGGAAUGCUUUUCUUCCUAAAUUAUUCCAAACUUCUGUUAAGUUAGUUAGUUUAAGUCUAAACCUUUACCAAUCAAACUUUGUGUUUUAUUCCUUAAGCUAACCGUGAAAUGAAACAAAACCAAUUCACUUGGAAUUGGUAUCCUUGAUUGCUUGCAAAUCAUUCCCAGUGAACGAUCCUUAGAGCCACUAUACUAUAGUAGCUUUGUAUUUGCUACCCUAGUGUAUGGUGUUAUAGGUAUAAAUUUUGUUGAUCACUUCCUCAAUCAAGGAACACCAGCUGAACACAAAUCAGCUGAGACACCAAUUGGGCAUGAGUCAGUGCGUUAGAGGAUCAAGAAGAAGAAAAAGAAGGAACUGUUGGAAUUAGUAUGAGUGUGAAGAGAAAAGUAUAUAAAUAAGGGGAAGUAAAAGCAAAGUUCAAAAAGCUAUAUUUUUUUAUUGUUGGUGUAUGGUUGCAUGAUUAUCCCUAUAAAUAAUAGGAGUUUUUUGGUAUUCUACUAGUAGUUGAAGCAUAAUUUCAUAAAUUAAUAUUUAGAGCGGGGUGGGGUGAGUUGUGACAAAAUUCAUACCCGUCCCAAACCUUGGUUCAGAUUUUUAAAAUAUUCUCAAACUUAUCAUAUACCCAACUUUUAUAUUUCAUACUUGUCCUAAUAGAGGCACGUUAGGCCGGGUUACUUGAGUAACCUACAUAAUUGUCAUCCCUAGUUGAAAUACACUUUUUGGCAGUGGCCACCAACUGAGCUAGAAGCUUGAUUGAUUGACCUACAAGAUUAGUUCUCAUCAUUUUAAAAAAAGUUCUGGCUUUGGUUGUGAGUGCAAUUGAAUCUAAACUGGCAUUUGCUUAAUGCAUCUACUUCAAUCCUAAACUUCUUACUUCUUAAGCCUCAAUUGUUGUUAGGAUUUUGGAAAACCCAUUUCCUUAAAUUGUAAAUUUAAGAUAAAAUAAAAUAAAAGUGAGACAUUUCUUGAUUGAAUAUUGUUAAAGGUCCCUUGGCAUUAAGACUUGGUUGAAGCCUUGGAAGAUUAGUGGAACUCUCAACAUGUGUUUGAAUCUUGAGGAGAGUGGAUGUAAGCCAAAAUUUUGUCAAACCAUUAUACAAAUUGAGUUUGAAUCCUCAUUUCUUGAUUUCUUAUUUAUUUGCUUUUUCUUAUUAUUACUUGAAUUGUCAUUUGCAUUCAUUAAUGUUAAAAUUGGUUAUAAUUAACCAACACUAAUUCUCUUUCCCCUUCCCUUUCUUGGGUGUAAACCUAGGUUGGAUUAACUAGAUAAAUCUAUUAAGAUGGUAAAAGAAUAAUUAUUCUUAACAUACAUAAGAUCAUCUUCAAUCAAAUGACUCAUUGGCUAAUAUGUUGAAUUUGCUUAUUACUUGCAACUCAAAAUUGUGUUCUAGUUGUGUCAAGUCCCCAGUGUAUGGACAUUAAAUUUGUAGUACGUGAUGAGUAAUUAGAUGGUCCAACUCCAAGAAAGUGAUUGAAAAGUAGUUCAAGAAAGGUGCAAAAGGGAAUUGUUUUGGUAUUUUCGUUUUUAUUCUUGAAGGUGGCAGAGCUAAAAUUUGAGAAAUCAAGCAAAACAUACUGAAAUUACAUUGAAAGAAAGAAGAUGGGAGUUAAUGUCUUGCAGUACAUGAUAAGGACUUCAUGCAUGUAGUGUGACCCAUGUCUUGGACUGAUGCCAACUCACGGUUACACUUAUACCCUUGGUUCUCUCUUUACUACCUUGGCUAACCUAGAUCAGGCUAUGAGAUAGGCUCCUCACCACACCAUUACUUGCCCAUUAAUUAGAGACAUUUUCAAGCAAUGAGGUAACAUGGUGACACCAAGAGGGUCUAUUCCUCGCCCGGAACAAGUCUAGACUUGGUCUCAAAAAAAUGGAGAAAAAUGAGGUGUCGUUAUGUAGAAAUACAACAACCAUGCCUUCCUCAUUACUUAGAUUCAGAAUGUGAAGGUGAAAUUGAGAAACAGAAACUCUUGAAACCAAAAUGAAAAUUGAUACUUUUACGAAGAAUUACAACAACAUUAGAGGAAGACUACAUUCUUCCUCUUUAUUCCUACAUUUCUACACUACUUCUACUCCACUCCAUAUUUCUACAUACAUCUUUAAUCAGUCUUCCCUCCUUUAUAUAGAGCCAUCUUCACACAAAUUUCGCAAGGUAGAAAAGAGGAAUGAAACUUGGAGCAAGGUUCGACUACUGGUUGUAGCUUGUCAAGGCUGGAAGUGAACUUUUCUUGGCUUUCUGGGCAUGGGUAGUAACUUGUGGGUUCCUGUUUGGCAUAAAAAUGGCUAGAACAUGUGGCACUAUCUUGUUGGAUGAUGUGUCAAGCAUGUGGCAGCCAUCUAGUGGCGAUUAUGUCAAUUUUGGGAUGGAGAGUUGGCAUCCAAUUGCAAAGAAAUAUGACGUCUACCAACAUGCAAUGUAAACCUAUGUAGAUCAUAUGAAGAUAGAGAGGAAAAAUAUAGAAAUGGAUAUAUACCUAGAACUAGCUUUUUAUUAAAUGAAACGGAGAGACAACAAUGAAGGAAAAUAAAAUUUUUUGGCUUAUAUCAAAGAGUUCACAUUGUGUUACCCUAGGUUUUCUUAAAACUUACUUUUAUGAUAACAAAAAAGAAAAAACCAUUAUUGUUUAAUCCUUUGUUUUAAACGCAUGUAAGGUGUAAUUAAGUUAGUUCAAUGCAUUAAUUUAAGAAACUUGACCUAUCAAAAGUACAAAAUUAGAUGAAAUCCAUUUCAAUGGUUAAAAUGAUCAAAAUCAAACUUUUUCUAAGUAUUUUUUAAAAGCAUCAAUAGUGAAAGACAAUUUUAUAUUUAGUCGGAGUUUGGACAAAACUGAAAAACACACAAAAUCCAAGCGACCAUCUCUAGCUUGGAUGGUCGCUUGAUCCCACCUAGAGAUGUGCAUGAGUAAAAGGAUUUGAAAAUGGAAAUUGACUAUGUAGUCGAUCAAUUAACUUUGCAACAUCAUAUGCAAUCCUAAUUGCUAGUCAUCUAAUCAAUUAGGUAGUCAAUCAACAGGCCAAAAAUAUGUUUAUAAUGACUAUUUUGUACAAAAACCACCUGUAUAGUUAAAUAUAAUGCAUUUCAUUUAUAAAUCUUCUAAUUCUUGAAUAACGAUCCUAUCAUCCUUUGAAAGUUUUUAUUACACUUUUUUUACUUUUGUUCUAAAACUUACACAUCACCCUUAAUUGUACCAUGAGAACCUAGCUAUUUUUUAUUUUUUUUUUUGUAAUUCAUCAAAGUUAGCUUUUGUAUUCAUUGUUGUAUUAUUUUUAGUAUAACUUAGAAAGCUAGUGUUUUCAAGUGAGUAAAAUUAACUUGUAAAUAUUGUAAAGAUUCAUCGACAUGUAUCUUAAACUAAGUGUACAAGUUAAAACAUUUGCUAGUAGAUUUUCUCAAAAUUUAGAAUAGAGCUUGAGACUAUUGAAAUAGGUGGGGUUGCACCAAACCACAUCACAUCGUUGUUUGCACCUUUUUUCACUCUCUUUUACUUAGUUGCUCUAUAUUUGUUGUCUAGUAAUAUCCUAUAGGCUUGAUGGGUUAGGGAGCAUCCCUUUGUGAAAAAAUUUUAUUCAAUCCUUAGUUGUAUCACGCAUAUAUAAAAUGCCUCAUUGUUUUAAUGGUAUUCAGUCGUGGCAUCACAGAUAUGGGCAUCUAAAUUUUAAAAGUUUGAAACUUUUAUCUAAAGAAAAUAUGGUGCUUUGCCUUUUUGUAAAGCAUGUUGAUGAAAUCCAUGAGAAUUGUGUACUUGGGAAGCAACACCGAGAUGACUUUUUUUUUUUUUUUAUAAUAUUGUUUGUCCAAAUUCCCUACAAAUUAGGCCACCAGAUGUUCAUAAUUCUCCCUUCUUGAAUUUGAAAACUCGGACAAUUGGACAAUGCGACACCUAAGUCCGGUUUCUAAAUGCUAAAGUGAAAGGGUAGGUAUGGACCAUUGAAAUGUGAUCACAACUUUUCUCUGUAGCCAUGUUGUCUCUUUUUUCUUUUGCAUGAUUUUCUUACCUUAACAGAAUCAUAGACUUGUUUAGUCUCUAAAUGGGAUUAAUUUCAUCCAGCUUUAAGCUACUAUAUUAUAUCUAGGUGGAGGACUUUUAAGAGUGCAACCGACAUAGAGCACAUGGAAGUGGGUAUAUGGGACAUGAAAUUUCUUCUUAUAAAGAUUGCAUGAUUUUUAUAUUAGAGUUGUUGAGGCGCUAUGUAUUUAGCUUGUUUUGCAGUUAAAUUAAUUGGAUAAGUAGACAUUGGCGUUUCUAAAUCUACUGUGAAGUGCUUCAUGUACGUGUGAAGUAUUAGAAAUUUCUUUCUUGGCAACUUGUUUUUCUUUGCGGUCUACUGAUAGGUUUGACUAAAAUUAUAUUCCCUGUCAUGCUAAUUAAUUUUCACGUGCAUGCUCAAAAGAAAAGUAUGACCUUAGUGCACCAAAAUCACUUUGAUUAAUUUGUGAUAGGUUUUUGUGCAUCAUGACAUUAGCCUUAUUCAUUUAGAUAAUGUUUAGUUUUUAGAAAGUAUUAAGAAAAGGAAAAUAAAUAUUAAGAAAAAUAUUCUUAUAUUUGAUUGUAUUAUGAAAAAUAUCAUAAAAAAAUCAAAUAUAAUUUAAAUUAAUUAAUAAUUUAUACAUUUUCAAAUUAUUUAAUCUUUAUAUUGAAGAUAUAAUAUAAAUGAAAUGAGUUUUAAGUAUUAUAUAAAAGUGAUUUAUUGAUCUUACAUAUAUAUAUUUCUUUUUUUUUUCCUUCUAUUUUUUCUCUUUAUUUUAUUUUCCUUAUGUUUUCCUCAACAUUUUCCGGAACCAAACAUAGCCUUAGGAAAUCCACAAUUACCUUCAACUGAGUAGAUUCUGUUGUUUUAGCAAUGUUAGGCUGCUAACUUGUGUUGGUACGAACCUAUUAAGCCUAAAGAUGUAAUUAGUUAGGAUAUUCUUUUCCCUCUAGUCUUGUAGCUCCACGUGUACAGUUGGUUAGGACCUCAUUGUAUAUAAUGCUUGCCCUGUUAUUGUAGAAGACAACAAAGAUAAAUAAUAUUAACAUUUUUCCUCUCAUCUCUCUCUGUUUCCCUCUGUUUUCAUCUCCUCUCUCAUCUUGGUAUCAGAGCCUCCAUGGCUUCUUUCAAAGAAACCUCCGAAUCACCUUCUGCUAGCAUUGUUAAUGUGCAAAACCCAUUAUCUCAAUCAAACAACCUUCCUUCACCAGUAGCCACACCCUCUUUUUCUUUCUCGUCUAUGAAUCAACCUCUCACAGUGAAGCUGGAUAAUGGGAACUACCUCAUAUGGAAGAAUUAGCUUCUAAAUGUCAUCAUUGCUAACGGACUCGAUGAUUUCAUUGACGGAUCUCGACCCUGCCCUCCUCGAUUUCUCGAUCUGCAACAACAAACCCUCAAUCCAGAGUACUCAGCUUGGCAGAGAUACAAUCGACUUCUGAUGAGUUGGCUGUACGCAUCCUUGUCCAAAGAUAUAAUGGCUCAGAUUGUUGGGUAUUCAACAGCUAUGGAGAUUUGGAAUGCCCUUAAUCAGAUUUACUCUGCCUCUUCUAUGGCGCGGUUUACUGAGCUUCGCACCAAGCUUCAAACGCUCAAGAAAGAUGGACUCUCAGUUGGUGAAUAUAUUCAAAGGCUCAAAUCCAUUUGCAAUAGUCUUGCAGCAAUAGGAGAACCAGUUUCUGAGAAAGACCAUCUUAUCUAUUUGUUCAAUGGAUUAGAUUGUGAGUAUUAUUCUUUUGUUACCUCCAUUCAAAAUCGAUCUGACCAACCAACUAUUGACAAAAUCCAUAGCCUAUUGCUUAGCUAUGACUUCCGGCUUGAACAACAAAACUCUGUUUCUCUCCAUUCUGCCCAAGUCCAUAUGGCUCAUCUGAACAAGAAACCUUAUAAAUCAACUCCUCAACCUACAUUCAAUCAUAUUCACAUUCAACCUAGAUACUCUUCUCCACCUUUUAAGCCAACCACUAGUCAAUAUCAACCCAACAUUUUGGGCAAACCACAACCACAACCAUGACAGCCUCAACCUCAAUGGAAACCACAUUUUUCAAUCUAAAAUCAAAAGCCUCAGCGCCAAAUUUGUGGUAAAUUUGGACACACUGCUCUUAUUUGCUUCCAUCACACAAAUUUGAACUAUUCACCCCAACCUUCUCCUAAAUCUUUCAAUACUGUUCUCACCACAAAUUCCCAGCUCCCUAAUCCUCCAAAAUUUUCUUACCCUACAAUGGCUCAUCCUGCUGCUACGCAUAACACGGUUCCCGAUACAAAUUGGUACAUGGACUCAGGUGCUACACAUCACUUUACUCUGGACAUCAACGUGCUUGACACUGUGACACCAUUUAGUGGUUCAGAACAGGUGACAGUUGGGAAUGGUAAGCAACUCUGUAUCUCACAUCUUGGUACUGCAAAACUACCAUCUUCGUAUUCUCCUCCUGUUCUACAUCAGGUAUAUCACACUCCAAAAAUUUCAAAUAAUCUUAUUAGUGUUAAAAAAUUGUGUUCUGAUAAUAAAGUUUUUGUUGAAUUUUAUGCCACUCAUUUUCUUGUCAAGGAUCAGGUUUCGAAGAGAGUUCUCCUUUAGGGUCAACUUGAUAAUGGCUUAUACAAAGUUCAGUCGUCAUGCUCUCCUUCUGCUGUUUCCUUUCCUCCUCAAGUUUUCAUAGCCAACAUCAAGUAUCCAAAUCUGUGGCACAAGAGACUAGGCCACCCAGCUUUAUCUGUUGUUAAUCAAAUCUUGGAUUCUUGUAACAUUGCUCGAACACAGAAAAUUUGUUUUAAUUUUUUAAAUUCUUGUCAAUUAGCAAAGAGCCACAGGCUUCCUUUUUCUCUGUCUCCAUCCAUUGCAGAAAAACCUUUUGAGUUAAUUCAUACAGACCUAUGGGGUCUUUCGCUCGUUCGCUCUAUUUCUGGUGCUCUUUAUUUUUUACUUUUCAUUGAUGAUCAUACUCGUUUUACUUGGUUUUAUUUGCUCAAAACAAAAGAUGAAGCAUAUCCUACUUUUCUCAAGUUUCAAGCUCUCAUUGAAAAUCAAUUUAAUACCAAGAUUAAGGCUGUCCAAUCUGAUUGGGGAGGUGAGUUUCGAUCUCUCUCCAUACCGUUUUCAAAUAUGGGCAUUGUCUAUUGUUUAUCGUGUCCAUACACCUCACAACAGAAUGGGCGAGUUGAGCGAAAAAAUCGCCAUGCGAUUGUCCUUUCUUGCUUGCUCUAUGCCCUUAUCUUAUUGGCCUUAUGCCUUUCAAACUGCCACUUACCUUAUUAAUCGUCUCUCUACCCCUGUGCUGCAUCAUCAAUCCUCUUACUUCGCACUCUAUCACAAACUCCCAACUUAUACUCAUCUUAAGGUCUUUGGUUCCUCUUGUUUUCCGUAUUUGCACCCUUAUAAUACCCAUAAACUCCAAUACAGGUCACUAGAGUGUGCUUUUCUUGGUUACAGUUCACACCACAAAGGUUAUCUAUGUCUUGACAUUCAUUCUAGCAGGGUGUAUAUUUCUCGCCAUGUGAUUUUUAAUGAAGAUUCUUUUCCAUUCAAGAAUUUGAAAUCUUCUCUCUCUCAGUCUAUUUCUUCUUCCUCUUCUUUAUAAGUUCCUCUGUUCAUUCUCUUGCCUCCCCUUUCCCCAUCUCCUCUUAUUUCUUCAUCUAUACCUCAUUCUUUUCCCUCUUCUUCUUCUACCUCUAGUACUUGUUCCCCUCUCGUUGCUCCUACCUCUCUUCCUUCCUCUUCACACUCUGUGUCUCCAUCUAUUCCACCUCCUUCUCCACCUUCUCCGAGUGUGGACCUGCUUGCACCUUGUGUGAAUACAAAUUUACAUACUUCUUCUCGCACUCACAAUAUUCAUCCUAUGGUGACUAGAUCUAAGGUUUGUAUCUAUAAACCUAAGUUGUUGUUGAGUGUCUCCAUAGGUUCUCUCACUAAGCCUACUUCCUUUCUUCAAGCUAUUAAAGAUCCUUCAUGGAAGCAAUCCAUGGAAUUCGAGUUUGCUACCCUUCAACACAACAAGACCUGGCAUUUGGUUCCUUCACCUUCCUCAGGCGAAGUAAUCGGUUGUAAAUGGGUCUAUAAGCUAAAGCUUCAGCCUGAUGGCUAAAUUGAGAGAUACAGCCUGCUUAGUAGCUAAGGGUAUCAUCAAAUUGAAGUAUGGACUACUUCGAAACAUUCAGCCUGAUNNNNNNNNNNNNNNNNNNNNNNNNNNNNNNNNNNNNNNNNNNNNNNNNNNNNNNNNNNNNNNNNNNNNNNNNNNNNNNNNNNNNNNNNNNNNNNNNNNNNAGCUUCAGCCUGAUGGCUAAAUUGAGAGAUACAAGGCCUGCUUAGUAGCUAAGGGUUAUCAUCAAAUUGAAGGUAUUGACUACUUCGAAACAUUCAGCCUGAUUGUCAAGCUUUCUACUAUCUGUAUUGUGCUCAGUCUUACUUUUUCCCAGAAUUGGUGUAUUAGACAGCUGGAUGUUCAUAAUGCCUUCUUACAUGGUGACUUAGCUAAAGACGUUUUCAUGGAACAACUGCCUGGAUUUGUUGAUCCUCUCUAUCCUACUCAUGUCUGCAAGUUGGAUAAGUCUCUCUACUGUCUUAAAUAGUCACCUCGGGCUUGGUAUACUAAGCUGAGUACUUCUCGCUACACUUGGGAUUUGUUACUUCUAAGAAUGACUCUUCCUUAUUUAUUUGUCAUUCGUCUCAUGGGUUACUUCUUGUUCUUGUCUAUGUGGAUGAUAUAAUCGUCAUUGGGAGCCACUCUCCUCAGGUUACUCACCUUAUCCAACAGUUGCAUCAUUAGCUUUCUUUAAAGGAUCUUGGUCCUUUACAUUAUUUUCUGGGCUUGGAGGUUCAUCACACCCCUACUGGUAUUCACCUCAGCCAAGCAAAGUAUAUCACUGAUCUCCUUACCCGGGCGGCUAUGUUGGAUGCCAAGCCAUGUCCCACUCCUAUGUCCUCCAACACAUAUCUCUCUUUUCAUGAUGGAGUGGCUCUUGAAAAUGGUUCAGAUUAUCGAAGUUUUGUUGGUGCCCUUUAGUAUUGUACCAUGACACGCCCAGAUAUAGCUUUUGCAAUAAAUAAAGUGUGUCAAUUCAUGCACCAUCCCUCUAAUGUUCACUGGCAGGCUAUAAAACGUAUUCUCCGGUACUUAAAGGGCACAUCUCAUUUUGGUCUCUUCCUACAGCCUUCCUAUGACUUCAACAUCACUUGCUAUACAAAUGCCGACUGGGCUUCCUGUCCUGAUGACAAGUGUAGCACCAGUGGCUACUGCCUCUUUCUUGCCUCUAAUCUGGUUUCUUGGUCAUCUUCCAAACAAAAAGUGGUCUCCCGCUCCAGCGCCGAAUCAGAGUACCGAGGGGUAGCAAAUGGGGCUGCUGAAAUUGCUUGGACUGAAUCUCUUCUUUGUGAACUUUCCAUUACUCCCCCUCCCCUCAUUCUCUGUGACAAUAUCAGUGCCACGUACUUAGCUGCCAAUCCUAUUUUGCAUGCCCGCACCAAACAUGUGGAAAUCGACUAUCACUUUGUCACGGAACGUGUUCUUCAAUGCUCUCUUUUUGUCCAGUUUACACCUUCUGAUGAUCAACUUGCUGAUUGCAUGACCAAGCCUCUCUCCACCCAACGUUUCAUCACUCUACGCUCCAAGCUCACUGUUCUCACUAGACCAAUGAGCUUGAGGGGGGAUGUUAAGCCUAAAGAUGUAAUUAGUUAGGAUAUUCUUUUCCCUCUAGUCUUGUAGCUCCACGUGUACAGUUGGUUAGGACCUCAUUGUAUAUAAUGCCUGCCCUGUUAUUGUAGAAGACAACAGAGAUAAAUAAUAUUAACAUUUUUCCUCUCAUCUCUCUCUCUGUUUCCCUCUGUUUUCAUCUCCUCUCUCAUCUGAACCAAAUGAUCCAUGUUAACCUUGGCUUGGUUUGAUUUGGCUCUAUCUUAGAGAGCUCAAGGAUCACGUCAACUCUGGUUUCUACUAUUCAGGUCCAUUCCCAUAUGAACUGGUUCAAAUUUGAGAAAAUGGUAACAGACCUUUAGUGAUGUUGGUUUGGAGCCAGUUGCCAAACCCGCCCUGAGCUUUACCACUAAUGUCAAGGGAGAAAGCCAUUUGAACAAAAACAAUAGCUUCAAGGGACUGAAUCGUGGAUGAAAUCUGAUCCACAUUUCUUCUCAUUUUGGAAACAAAUGAGAACUUAACUAAGAAGAUUCUACGGCCUCAUAGUGCUUUUCCUGAUCUAAGGUUGGUUCGUUUCCCAAACUGUGAGAUGCACGUGCCAGACUUCAGAACUCUCACGCUCAGGAGUGUAUCCACGUGGUGGACAUAAGAUGGUGGCUUAAGAUCUGGUGUCGGUGGCUUUACUUUACUAGGAGAGUAGUGUGUCUUCAUCUCAUUCACUGCCGGAGGGUGGCGUAAGCAGUGACGCUAAGGUGGGGCACAGUCAAUAUCAUUUGCAUUUGACCAUUAUAGUUUUCUCCCGGCUUUAAAGUAACCUUAUCGUGAUAAAGGAUUACUAGCACUAGUUCAGAUGAUAGUCAUGUUAAAUUCGGACCAUGUUUGUGUCACAUUAUCAGCAACCAUGUGUUUAUGGUUCAUGCUUUCUGCAACUAAAAUUGAUAUAUAACCAGGUGAACUUCAAUCUAAAUUCUGAAAGUACUCAUGUGAUAGAUGGUGCCCGUCUGCAGAGUCCAUCAAUUGAAAAAUGGAGUGAGUGUAUCUAUAAGAGGGAAGGCUUGGAAAAUGUUCAGUUUUCUGGGAAUUCAACAAGGAUCUAAAAUAGAUUGUUUUCUUUGCUGAUUUCAAUGGUUGAAAUUUGAGAAGAUUGUGUCCACAUAACACAACUAUUACUGGUCCUUCUGUUGCAAUUUAUCCUCUAAAGCUCUAGCAUGUCUUCCAAUUCCCACUUCCCUGUUACUCCAGGAAAGCUAUUUCUGUCAUUGUGAAGAAGAAAAGAGAAUGUACAUAUCGAUGCUUUUAAGUGACUGGAGCAUUUAUAUCAGGUGGUCUGCAGCCAUAUAUGCCACUUUGUGAAGAUUGGAACAGUCAAUCACUAGGCUAUAUAUUAGUGUGGCCCAGCCACUUUAAUCAAGGACAAGUCUUCAUACUUAAAGUCAAAUUCUGCCUUUAGUCUCAUUAUAAAUUUCUGUUUAAAUAUUAAGCAAACAUUUGUUUAAUGCGAUUAAGACAGUACUAACUCAAUACCUGUUCUAUUUUUGGAUGCAAAUGCUUGAUGGUUUCAUCAUUGGAUGGGAUAAAGGUGCAUUCAUGAUUAGGAAUACUAGUAGUUAUAUUUUAAUUCUCUUUUUUCUCAAUGAGACUUGUUGGCACAAUUUUGCUGUUGAGAAACCUACCUCUCCAUGGAAAAUAAGUUGUGAUUGAUAGUACUGGAUAUAUUCAAGAAAUCUAAAUAUAGAUAGCACAAAAUAUUAUCGACAUAAAUAGCAUUAACAGCGUACGUAUGUCUCAGUGCUCAUCAGCUAUAAGCAUGGGGCAAACACUUACUAUGAGCAACUUACGUCAAAAUUCCAGAAUAGGACAUAGAAGUGACAGAUAUAGAACAUUGCAUAUGAGUCACAAGAAAGGAAAUUACGGGUGCAUAGCAGCUCUUAUUUUACAUACUACUACUCAUACUGAUCAAAGUCACUCAGUUGGGAUGGGUGGGAGUAGGAGGUUUGUGGGGUGGCUUGUGCGGAGGAGUUGGCAGCUUCUUUCCAGGACCUGGUUGCUUCUCUGCUGGAGUUGAAGGAGGCUUAAUCUUCCGAGGUGGCUUGUAUGAGUCUUCAGCAUUCUCAGCUGGAGGGUGACCAGGGUUGUGACCAUAAUGUGGUGGCUUCUCUCCCUUAGGUGGUUUGCCAACUGGGGUUGGUGGCUUGUAUGAGUCUUCAGCAUUCUCAGCAGGAGGGUGACCAGGGUUGUGACCAUAAUGUGGUGGCUUCUCUCCCUUAGGUGGUUUGCCAACUGGGGUUGGUGGCUUGUGUUCUGGGAGUGGCUUCUCCCCCUUGGGAGGUUUUUCCAAUGGGGUUGGUUUGUGUUCAGGAGGUGGCUUCUCCACUGGAGGCUUGUGUUCAGGAGGUGGCUUCUCCACCGGAGGCUUGUGUUCAGGUGGUGGCUUCUCCACCGGAGGCUUAUGCUCUGGUGGUGGCUUCUCGAAUGGGGGAUGCUUAGGAUAAUCAGCAAGUGAGGGGGCGGUGAGAACCACCAGGCCAAGCAACACCACUAGCAAAUAUGUAGGAGACAUCUUUGGGUUUGGGCUCAGAUGGUGCAAAACUAGGAGAAUUGGCUAGCCUUUUAUAGCGGAUCGUACCCAAUAAUGAAAUGACACGUGUCAUUAUGACCCAUGUGUAAUGGGGUCGAUUUGGGUCCUACAGUGUUGAAAACUUCGACAUCCACUUUUGGCCUUUUGCUUUCUCUACAGCCGCCUUGCUUUUUCCCUCUUUCCUUUUGUUUUCCUCCUGCCCCAUUCUAUCAACUAAACACAAUUAUGUAGUUGUUUAAUUCUUAAAUGAGAUAUUAUCCGUCAAUCGUAUUAUAUUUUAUCAAGAGAGAACGGAGUGCAAUGUGGCUGUAAUUUUAUCGUUUAGUUUUAUCUCUUGGACCACUGCAUUUUUGUUAAGAGGUGCAAUAAUACACGUCUUUAUCUGCCAUUCAAUAUUUACAGUAAAGAGAGGGCACAAAACUCUUCACUUCGCACCAUAAUUAUUUUGUUUUCUGGACACCCCGGGGCCCUUUGGUUGGUUUGGGGGUCAGAAAGUGAACAUCAUAGGGGGUUUUUCCCUUAUGUGCAUUUGUAUCUGAUGGCUUUAACUCGCCUUGUUACUACAAAGAAACUGUCACAGAUAGGAACUUAUUCCAGGCUGAGUAUCUCCUCAUAGACCCUAUAAAAGAAGACAAGUCAUAAUGAACAUCUAACCUUUGUUCAAUUUGAUUCAAUGCCCCCAUUGUGUCCAUCUCACAAAUCUGAAUUAUUAUAUCCAUUGAAUACAUAAAUUAAUGAAGAAAAUAUGAAACCCAAGAUACAUCUCUGCACAACCUCAACCCUGGUUGCUAUGUUUCCCUUCUAUUCACAUGAUUUGAUGCUAAUUGCCAAACUUGCAACAAGCCCUGAGUUUGACACCUAGUAUCGAUGGGCGAAUUUAAAGUCUCCUCCAAACAUAUAUUCCACAGCUUGAAGCUCACAGAAGAUGUUACAGGCAGGGAAAAACCUUCAGAGUUCGCUACCAAAGAUAAUUAUUAAGGAGAUAUCACAAAGAGAAUUCCAAGGGGUCUGAAUCAAAGACAAAUUGGUCGUUCGUGGGGGUUCUUACUUUCUUUUGGGUAUAACUCACUGAGGGCACUGUCUUUGUUAUUUGCAUUUCACAUUUAGAGUUCUGUUCUGGAAACAUAUAAAAGGAGCAUCAUUUUGUUCUUGGGUAACCCAUAGUCGUGAGUGGGUCCAUUUGCAUGCUACUUAGUUGAAAAGUUGGACCAUUUGCUCCGACGCCUACCUCCCGGAUUCCAUGCUCGGAUAAAACAAGAAUAAAAAAAAUAUUUAUAAUUUACAAAUGGGGGAAAGAAAAAAAUGUCAACAACAAACCAGGAAAAAAGAGUAGUAAAAUUCAUGUCACAUGCUAGUGAGAGAAGGGGUUGUUACACUCACUCGAAGUUCUUUCCAAAAUAUCGCAUGGUAUUUUAUUUUAUGUGUCAGCGCAGUUGUGAAUGGAACGUGCAAAAGUCCAAAUUGGCGUUUUUCCUUUUCCCGUGUAGGAUGGCGACCUUUAAUAAAUAUUUAAAACAAAAAACGAAAAAAAGGAGGGAAAAGGGAUCAGAAAAGAUAAAACAAUGUGUACAAGAGCUCAAUUAGUUUGCAAAUUACUGUUUGGAUUUUGAUAGUAUUUUAUUUGUCCAUCUAUAUUUGAUGGAAAAGAGAAUUUAAGAUAUUUCUGAAACAAAAGCAUUAGUGUAAAACUAAAUUAAGGUAUAAUUAAGUUAGUUCAAUGCAUUAAUUUAAGAAACUUGAUCUAUCCAAAGUACAAAAUUAGAUGAAAUCCAUUUCAAUGGUUAAAAUGAUCAAAAUCAAACUUUUUCUAAGUAUUUUUUAAAAGCAUCAAUAUUAAAAGACAAUUUUAUAUUUAGUCGGAGUUUGGACAAAACCAAAAAGCACACAAAAUCCAAGCGACCAUCUCUAGCUUGGAUAGUCACUUGAUCCCACCUAGAGAUGUGCAUGAGUAAAAGGAUUUGAAAAUGGAAAUUGACUAAAUAUUUAGUUGAUCAAUUAAAUUUGCAAUGUCAUAUGCAAUCCUAAUAGCUAGUCAUCUAAUCAAUUAGGUAGUCAAUCAAGUGUUUGUAAUGACUAUUUUGUACAAAAAACCACAUGUAUAGUUAAAUAUAAUGCAUUUCAUUUAUAAAUCUUCUAAUUCUUGAAUAACGAUCCUAUCAUCCUUUGAAAAUUUUUAUUACACCUUUUUUACUUUUGUUCUAAAACUUACAUAUCACCCUUAAUUGUACCAUGAGAACCUAGCUAUUUUUUUUUUUUUUGUAAUUCAUCAAAGUUAGCUUUUGUAUUCAUUGUUGUAUUAUUUUUAGUAUAACUUAGAAAGCUAGUGUUUUCAAGUGAGUAAAAUUAACUUGUAAAUAUUGUAAAGAUUCAUUGAUAUGUAUCUUAAACUAAGUGUACAAAUUAAAACAUUUGCUAGUAGAUUUUCUCAAAAUUUAGAAUAGAGCUUGAGGCUAUUGAAAUAGGUGGGGUUACACCAAACCACAUCACAUCGUUGUUUGCACCUUUUUUCACUCUCUUUUACUUAGUUUCUCUAUAUUUGUUGUCUAGUAAUAUCCUAUAGGCUUGAUGGGUUAGGGAGCAUCCCUUUGUGAAAAAAUUUCAUUCAAUUCUUAGUUGUAUUACGCAUAUAUAAAAUGCCUCAUUGUUUUAAUGGUAUUCAGUCGUGGCAUCACAGAUAUGGGCAUCUAAAUUUUAAAAGUUUGAAACUUUUGUAAAGCAUGUUGAUAAAAUCCAUGAGAGUUGUGUACUUGGGAAGCAACAUCGAGGUGACUUUAUUUUUUUUUCCUUUUAUAAUGCCACACCUAAGUCCGGUUUCUAAAUGCUAAAGUGAAAGGGUAGGUAUGGACCAUUGAAAUGUGAUCACAACUUUUGGCCUUUUCCUUUCUCUGCAGCCAUGUUGUCUCUUUUUUCUUUUGCAUGAUUUUCUUACCAAAACAGAAUCAUAGACUUGUUUAGUCUCUAAGCUACUAUAUUAUAUCUCGGUGGACUUUUAAGAGUGCAACCGACAUAGAGCACAUGCAAGUGGGCAUAUGGGACAUGAAAUUUCUUCUUACAAAGAUUGCAUGAUUUUUAUAUUAGAGUUGUUCACGUGCAAUGUAUUUAGCUUGUUUUGCAGUUAAAUUAAUUGGAUAAGUAAACAUUGGCAUUUCUAAAUCGACUGUGAAGUGCUUCAUGUACGUGUAAAGUAUUAGAAAUUUCUUUCUUGGCAACUUGUUUUUUCCUUGCCAUCUACUGGUAGGUUUGACUAAAAUUAUAUUCCCUGUCAUGCUAAUUAAUUUUCAUGUGCAUGCUCAAAAGAAGAGUAUGACCUUAGUGCACCAAAAUCACUUUGAUUAAUUUGUGAUAGGUUUUUUUGCAUCAUUUAGAUAAUGUUUAGUUCUAAGAAAAAUUUAUAUAAAAAUGGUUUAUUUAUCUUACAUAUAUAUAUAUAUAUAUAUAUUUUUUUUUUUUUCAUUUUUUUUUCUUCUAUUUUAUUUAUUUAUUUUAUUUUCCUUAUGUUUUCCUCACAUUUUCCGGAACUAAACAUAGUCUUACGAAAUCAACAAUUGCCUUCAACUGAGUAGAUUCUGUUGUUUUAGCAAUGUUAGGCUGCUAACUUGUGGUGGUACGAACCAAAUGACCCAUGUUAAUCUUGGCUUGGUUUGAUUUGGCUCUAUCUCAGAGAGCUAAAGGAUCACGUCAACUCUGGUUUCUACUAUUCAGGUCCAUUCCCAGAUGAACUGGUUCAAAUUUGAGAAAAUGGUAACAGACCUUUAGUGAUGUUGGUUUGGAGCCAGUUGCCAAACCCGCCCUGAGCUUUACCACUAAUGUCAAGGGAGAAAGCCAUUUGAACAAAAACAAUAGCUUCAAGAGACUGAAUCGUGGAUGAAAUCUGAUCCACAUUUCUUCUCAUUUUGGGAAAAAAUGAGAACUUAACUACAAAGAUUCUACUGCCUCAUUCAUAGUGCUUUUCCUGAUCCAAGGUUGGUUCGUUUCCCAAAUUGUGAGGUGCACGUGCCACUCUCACGCUCAGGAGUGUAUCCACGUGGUGGACAUCAGAUGGUGGCUUAAUAUCUGGUGUCGGUGGCUUUACUUUACUAGGAGAGUAGUGUGUCUUCAUCUCAUUCACUGCCGGAGGGUGGCGUAAGCAGUGACGCUAAGGUGGGGCACAGUCAAUAUCAUUUGCAUUUGACCAUUAUAGUUUUCUCCCGGCUUGAAAGUAACCUUAUCGUGAUAAAGGAUUACUAGCACUAGUUCAGAUGACCGUCAUGUUAAUUCGGACCAUGUUUGUGUCACAUUAUCAGCAACCAUGUGUUUAUGGUUCAUGCUAUCUGCAACUAAACUUGAUAUAUAACCAGGUGAACUUCAAUCAAAAUUCUGGAAGUACUCUUGUGAUAGAUGGUGCCUGUCUGCAGAGUCCAUCAAUUGAAAAAUGGAGUGAGUGUAUCUAUAAGAGGGAAGGCUUGGCAAAUGUUCAGUUUUCUGGGAAUUCAACAAGGAUCUAAAAUAGAUUGUUUUCUUUGCCGACUUCAAUGGUUGAAAUUUGAGAAGAUUGUGUCCACAUAUCACAACUAUUACUGGUCCUUCUGUUGCAAUUUAUCCUGUAAGGCUCUAACAUGUCUUCCAAUUCCCACUUCCCUGUUACUCCAGGAAAGCUAUUUCUGUCAUUGUGAAGAAGAAAAGAGAAUGUACAUAUCGAUGCUUUUAAGUGACUGGAGCAUUCAUAUCAGGUGGUCUGCAGCCAUAUAUGCCACUUUGUGAAGGUUGGAACAGUCAAUCACUAGGCUAUAUAUUGGUGUGGCCCAGCCACUUCAAUCAAGGACAAGUCUUCAUACUUAAAGUCAAAUUCUGCCUUUAGUCUCAUUAUAAAUUGCUGUUUAAAUAUUAAGCAAACUUUUGUUUAAUGCGAUUAAGACAGUACUAACUCAAUACUUGUUCUAUUUUUGGAUGCAAAUGCUUGAUGGUUUCAUCAUUGGAUGGGAUAAAGGUGCAUUCAUGAUUAUGAAUACUUGUAGUUAUAUUUUCAUUCUCUUUUUUCUCAAUGAGACUUGUUGGCACAAUGUUGCUGUUCAGAAACCUACCUCUCCAUGGAAAAUAAGUUGCGAUUGAUAGUACUGGAUAUGUUCAAGAAAGCUAAAUAUAGAUAGCACAAAAUAUUAUCGAUAUAAAUAGCAUUAACAGCGUACGUAUGUCUCAAUGCUCAUCAGCUAUAAGCAUGGGACAAACACUUACUAUGAGCAACUUACGUCAAAAUUCCAGAAUAGGACAUAGAAGUGACAGAUCUAUAUAUAUAGAACACUGCAUAUGAGUCACAAGAAAGGAAAUUACGGGUGCAUAGCAGCUCUUAUUUUACAUACUACUACUCAUACUGAUCAAAGUCACUCAGUUGGGAUGGGUGGGAGUAGGAGGUUUGUGGGGUGGCUUGUGCGGAGGAGUUGGCAGCUUCUUUCCAGGACCUGGUUGCUUCUCUGCUGGAGUUGAAGGAGGCUUAAUCUUCCGAGGUGGCUUGUAUGAGUCUUCAGCAUUCUCAGCUGGAGGGUGACCAGGGUUGUGACCAUAAUGUGGUGGCUUCUCUCCCUUAGGUGGUUUGCCAACUGGGGUUGGUGGCUUGUAUGAGUCUUCAGCAUUCUCAGCAGGAGGGUGACCAGGGUUGUGACCAUAAUGUGGUGGCUUCUCUCCCUUAGGUGGUUUGCCAACUGGGGUUGGUGGCUUGUGUUCUGGGAGUGGCUUCUCCCCCUUGGGAGGUUUUUCCAAUGGGGUUGGUUUGUGUUCAGGAGGUGGCUUCUCCACUGGAGGCUUGUGUUCAGGAGGUGGCUUCUCCACCGGUGGCUUGUGUUCAGGAGGUGGCUUCUCCACCGGAGGCUUAUGCUCUGGUGGUGGCUUCUCCACCGGAGGCUUAUGCUCUGGUGGUGGCUUCUUGAAUGGGGGAUGCUGAGGGUAAUCAGCAAGUGAGGGGGCGGUGAGAACCACCAGGCCAAGCAACACCACUAGCAAAUAUGUAGGAGACAUCUUUGGGUUUGGGCUCAGAUGGUGCAAAACUAGGAGAAUUGGCUAGCCUUUUAUAGCGGAUCGUACUCAAUAAUGAAAUGACACGUGUCAUUAUGACCCAUGUGUAAUGGGGUCGAUUUGGGUCCUACAGUGUUGAAAACUUCGACAUCCAGUUUUGGCCUUUUGCUUUCUCUACAGCCGCCUUGCUUUUUCCCUCUUUCCUUUUGUUUUCCUCCUGCCCCAUUCUAUCAACUAAACACAAUUAUGUAGUUGUUUAAUUCUUAAAUGAGAUAUUAUCGGUCAAUCGUAUUAUAUUUUAUCAAGAGAGAACGGAGUGCAAUGCAGCUGUAAUUUUAUCGUUUACUUUUAUCUCUUGGACCACUGCAUUUUUGUUAAGAGGUGCAAUAAUACACGUCUUUAUCUGCCAUUCAAUGUUUACAGUAAAGAGAGGGCACAAAACUCUUCACUGCUCUGCAUGUGUCCCAAAAAUGCGAUUGGACAAAUUAUGAUUUGCAUGCUAAAAAGAGGCAAAUGAGGUUAAUUCGCACCAUAAUUAUUUGGUUUUCUGGACACCAUAAAAAGAUGUUAUACAGGCAGGGAAAAACCUUCAGAGUUAGCUACCAAAGAUAAUUAUCAAGCAGAUAUCACCAAGAGAAUUCCAUAGAGUCUGAAUCAAAGACAGAUUGCUCGCUCGUGGGGGUUCUUACUUUCUUUUGGGUAUAACUCACUGAGGUCACUGUCUUUUUUAUUUGCAUUUCACAGUUAGAGUUCUGCUCUGGAAGGUUUGUUCUGGAAACAUAUAAAAGGAGCAUCAUUUUGUUCUUGGGUAACCCAUAGUCGUGAGUGGGUCCAUUUGCAUGCUACUUAGUUGAAAAGUUGGACAAUUUGCUCCGACGCCUACCUCCUGGAUUCCAUGCUCGGUAAAACAAGAAUAAAAAAAAAUAUAUAAUUUACAAAUGGGGGAAAGAAAAAAUGUCGGAAAAAAUAGUAAAAUUCAUGUCACAUGCUAGUGAGAGAAGGGGUUGUUACACUCACUCGAAGUUCUUUUCAAAAUAUCGAAUGGUAUUUUACUUUAUGUGUCAGCGCAGUUGUGAAUGGAACGUGCAAAAGUCCAAAUUGGCGUUUUUAUUUUUCCCAUGUAGGAUGGUGACCUUUAAUAAAUAUUUAAAACAAAAGACGAAAAAAAAAAGGAGGGAAAAGGGAUCACAAAAGAUAAAAUAAUGUUUACAAAAGCUCAAUUAGUUUGCAAAUUACUGUUUGGAUUUUGAUAGUAUUUUAUUUGUCGUUCUAUAUUUGAUGUAAAAGAGAAUUUAAGAUAUUUCCGAAGCAAAAGCAUUAGUUUGCUCUGUGAUGUCCCACAUCGAAUAGGGGAGAAAGUUUCUGGCGCUAUAUAUGUAGAGGCUCCUCUUAACCAAGUAGAUGCGUUUUAAAACCAUGAGGGCCCCCUUAGGUCCAAAGCGGACAAUAUCUACAUGAUUGGGUGUAAGUCAUUACAAAUGGUAUCAGAGCCGAUCCCCGACCCCGGUGUGGGGGUUUGUUUGGCCCUGUAAGGGGUGUUUGUCUGUUUGACCCCACAAUCCCAUGGGACACAACGAGGACGUUGUGUCUGCAUGGGGGGGCGUUUGUGAUGUCCCACAUCGGAUAGGGGAGAAAGUUCCUAGUGCUAUAUAUGUAGAUGUUUCUCUUAACCAAGUAGAUGCAUUUUAAAAUUGUGAGGGCCUCUUUGGGCCCAAAGCGGACAAUAUCUACAUGGUUGAGUGUAAGUCAUUACAUGCUCCAUGUCAAUUUCAGCAUUUCUCAUAUGUUUCACACAUACACAGAAGAGCAUCGUUUUUUAAAGCAUGCAUUUAUGUUGGAUUAAUUUGGAUUUUGUGGGAACUGGGGCAAGGAUCACAUGGAAGAGAGGUUGACUUUUUUCAGUACUUCAAUGGUUGAAAUAUGUGAAGGCUUGAUUGAUACUAAAGCUUGAAAUUGCGACUCUGUCAUUUGUAAAAAAAUAUGACAGCUUCCAUGCUCUCGUUUGGUUGCAUUGUCCGGUCGAGAGGUGCAAAAAGCAUUCUCUCUCUUCUAAUAGUCUUUUCGUUUAAAUCAAGGGAUUUGCCUUCCCGGUCGAGGUCCAAUAGAGGGUAACGGUCACCUACUAAACAUUAAAUGCUCCAACAACUAGUGAACUGAUCGACCCCAGCUCGACUAGUUGAGGUUACUUUUUGGUUUUCUUGUCUCCCGAGGUUAGAAACCUAUAAAUAGAGAGCUUCACUUCAUUUAUGAGUAAGAGAACACCUAAAUUUAUUUGUUUACCUACUUGUUUUUGCCAUAAAAGCUCUCAUUUCUUUUCUUGGUGUAUUAAAUCUCCAUUUGCAUAUCCUUUAGUGCACCUUUGUGAUUCAUUCUAGCCUUGAGUUGUAUUUAAGCCUUUGUUGAGCUAGGUUGAGAGUUUCAUACUUGUUUAUUGAGUGUUAAAGCCUUCAAGUGAGUUAAAACUUGAAGAGAUUGUGUAAGAGCCCAUUGGAGUCGGAAUCCAAGUGUAAAGGUGAUUAAAAGCUUGGUUGAAGCUUCAAGUUAGUGGAACUCUCACUCGGUUAUGAGCUUGAGAAGAGUGGACAUAGACAAGGCAGUGUCGAACCACUAUAAAAUCUGAGUUUGAUUUCUCUAACCUUAUCUCUUUAUAUUUGCUUCUCUUGUGCUUAAAUUUUUUGUGUUUAAAAAGAAUUUUUAAAAACUCAAUUCACCCCCUUCUUGGGAGUUUUUCUCUUUUAAGAUCAGCUUUUAUUUUCUCAAUUGGUAUCAGAACUAUGCCUCUUGUUUAAGACUUAAUCGUCUAAGAGGAAAUGGCUAAUCCAUCAAGUUCAUCUCACAUUGAAAGUUUUGCAACCAAUAGACUUCUUUUUUUUUUUUUGCGGGAACUGAUUAUCCCUAUUGGAAAACUAAAAUGACUUGGUUUUUACAAUCAAUUGAUUUAGAUGUAUGAGAUGCCAUUGAAGAUGACCUAACUUUUCCUUCAAAACUAGUUGAUGGAGUCAUGGUUCCAAAACCUAAGCAAGAAUGGGAUGAGCGUGAUUGAAGAAAUUUUCAAUUAAAUGCUAAAGUCGUUUAUACUUUGCAAUGCUCUAUGGACAGAAAUGAAUAUAAUAGAAUAUGUCAAUGCAAAUCGGUUAAAGAAAUUUGGAGAUUGCUUGAAAUAACUCAUAAAGGAACAAAUCAAGUUAAAGAGUCAAAAAUCAAUUUACUUGUUCAUAGAUAUGAAUUGUUUUUUAUGAAAGAUAAUGAAACUAUUGUUAAGAUGAUCACUAGGUUCACCAACAUUGUUAAUGGUCUUAAAGCCUUGGGAAAGACCUACAAGGAAUCCGAAAACGUGAUGAAGAUCUUGAGGUCACUUCCAUCAAAGUGGCAUACCAAGGUCACCGCAAUUUAAGAAGCAAAAGACUUGAUCAAGCUACCUUUGGAGGAGUUCAUAGGGUCAUUGAUGACAUAUGAAAUCAAUUUGGCAAAGAAGUAACAAAAAGGUGAAGACAAAAAGAAGAAGAACAUAACUCUCAAAGCUACAACUAAGGAAGAAGAAGUUGAAGAAGAAAAACAAAUUGAAGAAGAUGAAGAUUUAGCCCUCAUCACAAGAAAGUUCAACAAAUUCAUGAGGGGUGAAAGGUUUAGAAGAAGAAGGUUCACUUCUAGAAGAGACUUUUCUAAAAAGGAAUCUUCAUCUAAUGGUGACAAAAAGAGAUGGGAAGAGAAAAGAGACUUGGUGUGUUUCAAGUGCAAGAAACCGGGACACAUUAAAUAUGAUUGUCCUCUCUACAAAAGUGAAGUCAAGAGGAAAAAGAAUAAGGCAAUGAUGGCCACUUAGAGUGAAAGUGAAGAUGAAUCAUCCGAAGAAGAAAAUGAGAAAGAAGUGGCAAACAUGUGUUUCAUGGCAAUAGAUGAACUUGAUGAGGUAAAAUCUAACCUUAGUGAUUAAGAUAUACAUGAUGCAUUUGAAGAAUUGUAUGAGGAUUUUUAAAAACUUAGUUUGAAAAAUAUUUCUCUUAAAAAGAAAGUUCAACAACUUGACAAAGAACUUAGAGAAGUAAAAGAAAAAUUUUCAAAUGUUAAAGUUUCUAAAACUCAUCUUGAAAAAGAAAAUGAGAUUCUAAGAAAGAAAAAUGAAUAGUUGAACUCCUCUCUUUCAAUCUUUUCUUCUAGACAAAAAUCUUUUGAAAUGAUUCUAACUAGCUAAAAAUGUGUUUUUGACAAACAAGGGUUAAGAUUUAAAUCUUCAAAAAAUCAAAAGUAUUUUAAAAACUAUUUUGUAAAGGAAUCCACAAGUGCAAGUCCUUCCACUACUUGCAACUUUUGUGGAAGAGAAUGGCACAUUAGUAGUACGCCCUUUAAGAAAUGGUUCUCAAAAGAAUUUAAAUGCAAAAACUAAAAAAGAUUUGGAUUGAGAAAUCCAAGGUCACUAACCCUCAAGGACCCAAAAAGAUAUAGGUACCUAAAUCAACUUGAGUUUUAUGUUGUAAGGUUCAAAGAAUGAUAAGUGGUUCUUAGAUAAUGGUUGCUCAAGACACAUGACCGGAGAUGAAUCCAAGUUUGCUUUUCUUAAAAAGAAAAAUGGAGGAUAUGUUACCUUUGGAGACAAUGCAAAAGAAAGGAUGAUUGGUCAAGGCAACAUUGGUAAUGGCACAUCCUCUCUCAUUGAAAGUGUUUUAUUAGUAGAUGGUUUCAAACAUAACCUUUUAAGCAUUAGUCAAUUUUGCGACAAAGGUUUUUAAGUGAUUUUUUAAGCAUCUCAUUGCAUCAUCAAGGAUAUUCAAAAUGAUAAAACCAUUUUCAUGGGCCAUAGAUGUGAUAAUGUUUAUGCUAUAAAUAUUUCAAAAUAUGAUGGCCAUGAUAGAUGUUUUUCAAGCAUGCAUGAUCAAAGUUGGUUGUGCCAUAGGAGAUUGAGACAUGCUAACAUAGACCUCAUUUCCCAACUCAACAAAGAUGAACUUGUUAGAGGCCUUCCCAAAAUAAUUUUUUAAAAAGAUAAAGUUUGUGAAGCUUGUCAAGUGGGAAAGUAAAUCAAAAACUCUUUUAAAAACAAAAACUUCAUUUCCACAUCUAGGCCACUUGAGUUGUUGCAUAUGGAUUUAUUUGGUCCCUCUAGGACACCAAGUCUUAGAGGAAAUUCUUAUGCAUAUGCUAUUGUGGACGACUUCUCUAGAUACACAUGAGUCUUGUUUUUUAGUCAAAAGAAUAAAGUUUUUUAUGAGUUUUCAAAGUUUUGCAAUAAGAUUCAAAAUGAAAAAGGUUUUUCAAUUACUUAUAUAAGAAGUGAUCAUGGGAGAGAAUUCGAAAAUAUUGAUUUUGAAGAGUAUUGCAAUGAGCAUGGAAUUGACCACAAUUUUUUGGCUCUUAGAACUCCUCAACAAAAUGGGGUAGUUGAAAGGAAAAAUAGAACUCUUCAAAAAAUGACAAGAACCAUACUAAAUGAAAACAACUUACCAAAAUAUUUUUAGGCCAAAACGGUUAACACUUCUUGUUAUGUUUUAAAUAGAGUAUUAUUGAGGCUCAUACUUAAGAAAACUCCCUAUGAGCUUUGGAAAAACAAAAAACCCAACAUUAGUUAUUCCAAAGUCUUUGGAUGCAAUAUUUUAUAAUAAACACCAAAGACAAUCUUGGAAAAUUUGAUGCAAAAUUGGAUGUUGGAAUUUUCCUUGGUUACUCAACUUCAAGUAAAGCUUUUCGAGUUUUAACAAAAGAACCAUGGUUGUAGAGGAGUCCAUCCAUGUUAUUUUUUAUGAAUCUCCAAGAAAGAGAGAGGAUUGAUGAUGAUUUAGGUUUGAAGACCUCUAUAGGAAGAUUGCAAAUCGAAGAUAGAAGACAACAAGAAGAAAAUGGAGAGAAUCCAAAGAAAGAAGGAUCACCAUUGGCACUACCCCCUCAUCAACAAGCGCAAGGUGAAUCAAGUCAAGAGCUUCCUAAAGAAUGGAAGUUUGUCAUCAAUCACCCACAAGAUCAAAUUAUAGGCAAUCCAUCUAGUGGGGUAAGAACUAGAUCCUCUCUUAGAAAUAUUUGCAAUAAUCUAGCUUUUAUCUCUCAAAUUGAGCCUAAAAAUAUAAAUGAUGUUUUAGAUGAUGAAAAUUGGAUAAUUGCAAUGCAAGAAGAGUUAAAUCCAUUUGAAAGAAGUGGAGUAUGGGAAUUAGUACCAAGACCUUCAAAUCAAAGUGUUAUUGGAACUAGAUGGAUCUUUAGAAAUAAAAUGGAUGAAAAUAGCAUAAUUGUUAGAAAUAAAGCAAGAUUGGUAGCCCAAGGUUUUAAUCAAGAAGAAAUGAUAGAUUAUGAAGAAACCUUUGCCCCCGUAGCUAGGUUGGAAGCCAUUAGGAUGCUACUUGCCUUUGCAUGUUUUAAAGACUUUGUUUUAUAUCAAAUGGAUGUGAAAAGUGCUUUUUUAAAUGGUUUUAUAAAUGAAGAAGUAUAUGUUGAACAACCACCCGGUUUUCAAAGUUUCAACUUUCCUAACCAUGUUUUUAAACUUAAAAAGACACUUUAUGGUUUGAAACAAGCACCUAGAUCAUGGUAUGAAAAAUUGAGUAAAUUUCUUUUGAAAAAAAUGUUUUAAAAUGGGAAAAAUUGACACAACUCUUUUUAUAAAAACCAAAGAAAAUGAUAUGCUCUUAGUUCAAAUAUAUAUUGAUGAUAUCAUUUUUGGUGCUACUAAUGUCUCUCUUUAUGAAGAAUUUUCUAAGUGCAUGCAUAGUGAGUUUGAAAUGAGCAUGAUAGGAGAACUCAACUUCUUCCUUGGACUUCAAAUCAAGCAACUAAAGGAAUGAACCUUCAUCAAUCAAGCAAAGUAUAUAAGAGAUCUUCUCAAAAGGUUCAACAUGGAAGAAGCCAAAACAAUGAAGACUCUAAUGAGCUCAUCCAUUAAGCUUGAUAAGGAUGAGAAAGGUAAAUCCAUUGACUCUAUUAUGUAUAGAGGCAUGAUAGGUUCUUUGCUCUAUUUGACCACUAGUAGACCUUACAUUAUGUAUAGUGUGUGUUUGUGUACUAGAUUUCAAUCUUGUCUUAAAAAAUCUCACUUAAGUGUCGUGAAAAGAAUCCUCAAAUAUUUGAAAGGGACAAUGGACAUAGGCUUAUGGUAUCCUAAGAGUGAUAACUUUGAAUUAAUUGGUUUUUUGGAUGCUGAUUUUGUCAGUUGUAGGGUUGAAAAAUAAAACACUAGUGGCACUUUUCAUUUCUUAAGACACUUACUUGUCUCAUGGCAUAAUAAGAAGCAAAAUUUGGUAGCUUUGUCAACAGCAGAAGCUAAAUACAUAGCAACUGGUUUAUGUUGUGCACAAAUCCUUUGGAUGAAAUAAACACUUAGUGAUUUUGAUUUAUCUUUUGAGCAUAUUCCUAUUAAAUGUGAUAAUAGUAGUGCCAUAAGUAUAUCAAAAAAUCUCGUGCAACACUCUAGGACUAAGCAUAUAGAGAUUAGACAUAAUUUUCUUAGAUAUCAUACACAAAAGGAUGAUAUAACACUUGAAUUUGUAAGCAUAAAAGACCAACUUGCCGAUAUCUUUACAAAACCUCUAAGAACAUUUUGUUGAUAUUAGAGGACAAUUAGGAGUGAUUUCUUUAUGAUCUAAUGUGAUGAAUUCUUGAUGAAUAUACUUUUUGAUUGCAUGAAUUUCAUGUCAUAUAUGCAUCAUAUAGAAAUAUACUUAGAUAAUGGUCAAAUUUCGACCAAAAAUCAAAAUUCCCAUGGCAUUAGGCAUAAAAAUUUUGGAAUUUCAACUGAAAAUGGUAGGAGGAGGAUCACAAAAUGAGAAAGUAUGCAAAAAUUGAAAAAUCAAAACGUUGACCAAGCGGUCAAUCGGACUAGACCGAUCGACUAGUUUGUCGAGAUUUAGGAUUUUUAAGAGACUCCAACGCUUCAAUUUUUGCACCGUUCUCCUCUAUUUCUUCACGGUUUCUCUGAUUUUGUCUUUUAGAGACUAAUUUGAGUGCGUUUUGGAUCAAUUGAAGCAUUUUGGAUUGGAUUUUAGGAAGAUUGAAAGUUAAGGUUUCGGAUUUGGGUCGCCUUCUCUUCCUCUCGCGUGUCACAAUCAGCUUUAGCAUUGUUCUCUUUCCAUUUUCACACACCUAGGGUUUCAGUUGUGAGCAUCUCUCUCUCUUUACCAACCACUACUCCCUUGCUUCUUCCAUAUGGCUCCUAGGCGAGAGUCCGCUACUUCUAGGGCACAAGGCAAGCACCCAACUGAGUCGUCUCAGUCAAAGGCACGUCGAAAAGUGAGAUUUGACAUUGCCUUGUUCAGUUCCAUGGAGGACUACCAACUAUACAAGCAACACUUUGCUUAGAGACGAGUAGUUCCCAAGAGAAAUAUUAAUUUUCCUCAACUUCAGCAUUUCGAAUUUAAGGGUCUAUUUACUAGGAUGGUUGGUUGUCUAUUGUCACAAUUUCGGAGCCGGUUUUCCUGACCUUAGUGCGAGUUUUUUACUCGAGGGCGACUUAUGGCAUGGGUGGCAUGAUCAUUUCUACUGUUGGAGGAGUUGAGAUCUGUCUGGACCCAGAGAGCAUCUGCCAUAUUUUCGAUAUUGCUCUGGUUGGACUCAAAGUAUACAAGUCCAAAAUGUGGCCCAUUGUGCCAGGAUUUGAGCUUAGAGAGGUCAUUCAGAGGAUUUGUGAACUUCCAGACGCCCAGGAGAUGGGCAAACCAUUGCCACACAGUUUGACGGUCAUCAACAGGGUGCUACACCAUAUAUUGUGCUCUAUCUUUCUACCACGAAGUGGACAUUGAGAUGAGGUCUCUUAUUAUGAGGCAUUCCUUAUUGACUCCAUUCUAACGGAGAGACGAAUUCAUCUACUAUGUCAUCAUUCACUAAGCCUCCUCACAGUGACAUACCACCUCAUCAGGCACCUCUUGCUCCUGACCAUGCUCCAUUGAUGGAUUUAUUUACUCAUAUUAGCUCUCUAGGCACUCGCAUGAAGGAGUUUGUUGUAGUUAGUGAUACAUGGUUCUACUCCAUAGAGGAUCGCAUGGAUCAGUAUCAGACUGGCUUCACGUCACAGUUUGAGUAUCUCCAAUAGAGGAUUGAGCAUAUUGAGGAUCACUUGAGCAUGAGAAGAUGAUGGCUUUUCUAUGCUCUGUGUUUCCACCUCCACCUCGUCAACCUUGAUUUCUUAGAGACCCAUUGUUUUCAUUUUGUAAUGUUGCCAAAAGGGGGAGAUAUUUAGGAUCUAGGACUCUAUAGGAGACUUACAUGCAUAUCAUUUUCAUAUCAUUGUUUGGAUCGUACAUAUUGGAUAGUGAUACUUUUUACUUAUAUAUGAUAUGCCUAUAUGUUUCAUGUCUUACAUUGUUUCUUAUUGCAAAUUAUCUCUAACAUGUCUUGAUUAUCUUUUUUUUAACUUCAUAAAUUUUGAUUGUUAACCCAUGAUUGGUUUGAGGGGAAGAUUCUUCUUCUCCUAGAUAACCAAGGUUUGUCAUCAUAAAAAAAUUGGAGAUUGUUAGCCCAAGGGUUCUCCUAAUCAUGUUUUGAUGAUAACAAACCAUGCUUAAGUUACUAAUUGGUUUGAAUUAUAAAGAAUUUCAAGUGUUAAUUUGAAAAUUCAUCAAAGAACCUAAUGGAUGCAAGAUCAAGAUUUUUGGAAGACCUUUAAUCAUAAGAAACAUAUGUAAGAUGAAUGCAUGGGUGCACUUAAGAUUUGCAUAUCAUUUCAUGCAUAUUUGGAAAACACGGUUUAUGCUUUAAAGUUACAUUUCCAUCAAAAUUUGAGAUCCAUCAAAUGAACCUUAGGAAAAAUGUUUUAAAAUUGGCAUAUAAUUUUACCUAAAGACCUUGCCUAAGUGUUAGAAGCAAAAGGACAAAAAAAAUAUAGGUUUUCUGGUCAAAAAUGGUGAACCAGUCAAGGCAUUGUCUAAAUCAGCUCAAUCGGCCAAGGUACCGGUCGAUCGGUUUCCCUUUCCCUGUCGAGAUCUAGUCAAGAGGUACAAAAAUCACAAUCUCUGUCUCUUUCUCUCUUUGUCUAUCUUCCAGUAGUCUUUCCUUCCCGGUCGAGGGAUUUGCCUUCCCGAUUGAGGUCCGAUUGAGAGUAAUAGUCACUUGCCAAAUAUUAAAUGCUCCAACAGUUAGUGAACUGGUCGACCCCCACCUUGCCCAGUUGAGGUUACUUUUUGGUUUUCUUGGCUCCCGAUGUUAGAAACCUAUAAAUAGAGAGUUCCACUUCAUUUAUGAGCAAGAGAACACUUGCAUUUAUUUGUUUACCUACUUGUUCUUGCCUUAAAAGCUCUCAUUUCUUUUCUUGGUGCAUUAAAUCUCCAUUUUGAUAUCCUUUAGUGCACCUUUGUGAUUCAUCUUAGCCUUGAGUUGUAUUUGAGCCCUUUUUUUAGCUAGGUUGAGAGUUUCAUACUUGUUAAUUGAGUGUUAAAGCCUUCAAGUGAGUUGAAACUUGUAGAGAUUAUGUGAGAGUCGAUUGGAGCCGAAAUCCAAGUGUAAAGGUGAUUAGAAGCUUGGUUGAAGCUUCAAGUUAGUGGAAUCCUCACUCAAUUAGGAGCUUGAGGAGAGUGGACGUAGCCAAGGAAGUGUCGAACCACUAUAAAAUUUGAGUUUGAUUUCUCUAACAUUGUCUCUUUAUAUUUGUUUAUCUUGUGCUUAAAUUUAUUGUGUUUAAAAAGAAUUUUUAAAUACCCAAUUCACCCCCCUCUUGGGUGUUUUUCUCUUUUAAAAUUAGCCUUUAUUUUCUCACAAACUAUUGUAGUAUAGUGGUUUUUAGGUGUCAUCCAUUAGGAUGAAUUGUUCUCGGUAAUUAAGGCGUGAAUGAGAGGAGAAUUAAUGAUUGUGAUUAAGUAAAAUUGAUUUGAAAAUUCAUGGUGAAAAAUCAAUUUAACAAUGGUUUCUAAUUGAGAAAAACAAUGAAAUGUGAAAUAAAAUAAAAUUAAUAGGAAAUGAAAUUCUCGAAGUUAGAAUUUUCUAAAAAACAAAUUCCAUGGUGAAUGGAUGUUGAGAUCUAAUUUUCAUCAAGUUAGAUUGAAAACCGAAAUUUUCAUAUAAACUGAUUUUUUAUUUAGUUUUAGGUCUAGAUUUAAUUUCCCUUAAAAUUAGGUUAUUUAAUCCAAGAAAUCAAUUCAAAUCAUAUAUUCAAUUCAUCUUAAAUUAUCUUCCAAUUAUUCACACAAUGCAACUAUUCAAUCUCAUCAAAUCUAGCUUUUAAGAAUUUAAUGAAUCUACCUAGUUUGCAUUGUAAUAGUCAUCCAUGACAAUUUGAAGAGAAAAAUAAUUCAAUUAAUCAAUCACUUGGAUCAAAUUACCUUUGCAAUUAAAGUUCAUUUCUCUAAUUCACCACAGAUUUUGUCUCUAGAUCCUCCUUUCUCAAAGAAAAAUGAGAUUUAGCCACACAUGAUUGGAGAUUUGGUCUCAUAAGGCAUGUUUAGCUAGUGAUAAAAUGAGAGAAAAUAAAGAAAAAUAGAGAAUUCGAUUAAGAAAGAAAAUCUAAAAAAUUCUACAAUUAGAAAUGUCCAAAAAGCUUUUUCAUGAGAAAAUCAAGUUUCUAUUUAUAGGCCAAGGUCAAGUGGACACUUGACAUCAUCUAAGAGGUCUUCCGGAAGCUUCUUCAUCAAGAAAUCUGGAGUUUAAUAAUAAAAUGGUCAUUUCACAAGAGCUCAAACAAUUUCGCAUGAUUAUGUGAAAUAAAAAAUGCAACAACAGCAAUUUACAUCUUCUUGGAGCAUUUCGCAUGACUGUGUGAAAUUUUCACAUGAUCAUGUGGAAUCGACUUGACAACUCUCAUUUAGCCUACAACAUAAUUCCACCUUUUGGUCCAUUUUUCAUAGUCAUGCGAAAUGGAAAUAUUUGAUUUUUAAGUUUUCUUUUGUCAUUUCUUUCAUUUCCUUCUCUUGAUUCCACUUCAACUACCUCCGAAUCCUGGUCCAAACCAAUUGCAUUACUUCUUUCAUUAUGCAUUUGGAUCAUCAUCAACAUUAUUUGUUCUCUUCAAUUUGAUUCAUCUCUUUUGUCACCAAUUUAUCAAAAUCAUACCUUGAAAUGACUCCAAAACUUCAUAAAACUUGUUAGUAACUCUUGCAAGGGCAACAACAUAUUAAUUAAGUGUUUUAGGCAUAGUUACUACUCAAAAGAUGCGAAACUCAUGAUAAUUAUUAUAUAAAAUAUGCUCUUUUUGAGUAGUAAUCAACUUUCUUGCAUAAGCAGACCUUUUAGGGUGGAGUACUAAAGACCAAUAUGCUUGUCCUUGUUGUAAUAAAGAAACUUGCUCUUAUUGAUUGCACCAUGGGAGAAAAUUUUGCUACAUGAGUUAUCAUCAAUUUCUUCCCACCAAUCAUAGAUUUAGACGUGACAAGAGGCCUCUUAAUGGCAAGGAGGAACUGACACUCACACUUAUACAAUUAUCGGGCAUUGAUGUGUUGCAACAAUUAGAAUAACUUACACCAAUUAUGUUGGGGAAGUCACAAAAGGCAAACAUGAAAACUAAAAGGAAAAAAGAAAAAUGUUACAUAUCACCACAACUGGAAAGAAAAAAGUAUUUACUUUCAUUUGCCAUAUUGGAAAGCACUUAUUUUACAUCAUAAUAAUUUAGACAUAAUGCAUAUUGAGAAAAAUGUGUGACAAUAUAAUUGAGACAUUGUUCAGUAUUGACGAAGAAACAAGGACAACCUAAAUAGUCAUCUCGAUUUACAAGCUCUAACUAUUAGAAAUGAGAUUCACCCAAUAGAAAGCAGGACCAAAUUUAUUUUGCUUGCAACAUGCUACUCACUCACCCCAAAUGAGAUUAAGGAAUUUUGCAAGUUUUUGAAAUCAAUAAAGGUCCCCAAUGGCUAUUCUUUCAAUAUCUCUCGUUAUGUGCAACUCAAUGAAAGGAAGAUAUAUGAGCUCAAAUUGUAUGAUUGUCAUGUCCUAAUGCAACAACUUCUCUCACUUGUAGUUCGUGGAGUUCUACAUAAGAAUGUUUGUGGAGUUAUCAUAGAAUUGCGUAAUUUUUUCAAGCAAUUGUGCUCAAAGGUGUUAGAAACAAAUCACUUACACCAACUUGAGAACAAUAUUAUUGUCAUACUAUGUAAAAUGGAGCAAAUAUUUCUUCCAUCAUUCUUUGAUAUUAUGGUGCAUUUACUUGUGCAUCUAGUAAGGCAAAGGUUGCAAGACUUGUGCAAUAUUGUUGGAUGUACCUAAUUGAACGAUAUUGUUAUAAUUUCAUAUGAAUCAUUUAAUUUUAUUUUAUAUUAUGUUCAGUUCAUUAACAUGUACAUUGGUCUACAUAUGGAUGAUGAUAGGUACCUAAGCACUUUAAAGUCAUAUGUGCGUAAUAGAACUUUUCUAGAAGGUUCUAUUGUAGAAAGGUACCUUGCAAAAGAAUGUACAACAUUUUAUUCUAGGUACUUGAAUGAUGUGGAAAUAAAGUAUAAUCACAAUGAUAGAAACUUUGUUGGUUUCAACACUAGAGGAGAUGAAAGGGGUUAUCUUUAAACAUAUUGGACAUGCAUUGGGAAAGCCCAUAUUUCAUUAACUUAGUUCAAAAGAGUGGUCACAAGCACAUUUAUAUGUGUUGACAAAUUGCGAAGAUGUCAUACCAUUCAUUGAGUAAAAAAUUUAUUUGAAUUUUAAUUAAAGCUCUAGUUUAUAUCCUUAAUCAAUGUUUUUUAAAUUCACAAGGAGCACAAGCAAACCAUCAAGGCUAGACCACAUAUACGUGUUUGAGACGUAGAUUUAAUUCAUAACAAGGAAUUUAUCAAGUGGUUUGAAAGACAUGUAAGUAUAUUCCUUAUUAUAAGGGAUUUAUUUCACAUUAUGUUUAUAUUGAAUCCAAACCUAUUAUUGAAUUGUAGGUUGAACAAUUACAUAAUGAAGGUCAUAUAUCUGAACACCUUCUCACAUUAUCAUGUGUUCCAAAUUCAUUAGUUACAUGCUUCAAAUGAUAUAUUGUCAAUGGAUUUAGAUCCCACAUUAAAGAACGUGAUAAAAAAGUUUUUAAAAAAAGACUCAGAAUAAUGGAAUUGUUGUAGUUGCAAAAACGUCAAGCUUUACAAGUGCAUGUGAUAUGAGUCCAAUUAUUAGUGAUGCUCUCUACUAUGGUGUUCUAACUAAAGUUGUUGAGUUACAUUAUCUUGGUGAAAAUAAGGUUGUUUUAUUCGAGUUUGAUUGGUGGGAUGUUACAAAUAUUGGAAAAUUGAUAAAAGAUGAUGAGUACAAUUACACAUUUGUUAACUUUGCAUGAAUUCUAACCACGAACGAACGAUUUGUACUUGCAUCUCCAGCAAAGUAAGUGUUCUAUGUGAAGAAUGCGAAUGAAUCAGAUUGGCAUACUAUCAUGGAGAUGCAACCUCAAGACCUCUAUAAGAUGAACGGGAUAGGAUCCAAUGGUGAUUUUGAACCAUUUCAACAAAGUGAACUACAUGAUCACUAAUAUAUCUCAGAUUUAGUUGAUGAAGAUAUAAUCAAGUGGAACAAAAGUGAUGUUUUAGGACUAAUCAUCCUAAAAAAUAUUGUAGUUUCUUAAAAAAAAAAUGAAAAUGAAGAAGAUAAUUGAACCUUUGUCAUACUUUAAAAAGCAACUAUGCAUUGUUCAUUUUGUAUGUUUUGGUUUUCUUCAUUUAAUUUCCUGAUUUUUGUGAUUCAAUGUCAUAUUAUUGAUCUUGAAAUAUUUUUCUAAUUUUUCAUUCUACGAUGGUUUCAACAAGGAUGACAUCAAGUCAAAAAAGGAAAUGUGGUCCCACACACAAUAUUGCAUUACAGGGAUUAAGGUCAGGGAAGAAGGUAAAAGUUGCAUUUAAUGAGUACAAUCAAUUGGUUAAACAGAAAAAUGGAAAACACUUAUCGAGCUACAUAGGGACACUUGUAUCUAACCAACACAAUGUACCUCUCCAAGCUAGUGAUUGGAAAAAUGUUCCAAAUGAUGCAAAAGAGAAAGUAUGGCCUUUGUUUUGGUAUGUUGUAUUUCUCACUAUAUGAUGUCAUUUCACUGUUAUUCUAUUUUGUGACUAACGUUUGAAUCAUAUGUAAGAAAAAUUUGAAGUAGAUAAAGACUGAAAAGAUUACAUGUUGGGUAUAGCCUCAAAUAAAUAUAGAAGCUAUAAAAAUAUGAUGAAUGCAAAAUACUAUGACCCUUGGCAUAAGGAUGCAUGAGGAGAGGUUAAUACAUAAAUCACCAUUUGUCUCUGAUGUUGAUUGGAAGUGGCUUGUCUCUGAUGCAUAAACCAAAUCCCCCACUGAAUGUUUGAUAUUUGAUAGCAGGAAAAACACACCCGCAGCUAUACACCUCCAUCAUUCAGAUAAUUAUAGUGGGGGAGAUGAUUCAUGGUUGCCCUUAUACCCUUUAUUUGCACCAUCUAUUGAGAUUCUUUAUCAUGGCCAGGUUUUACUGCAGCAAUAAGAUAUGGUGGCAACAAUUUUAUCUAUAGGUGCGGUUCCAGACCGCCUCCAUAGGUGCGGUUCCUGACUGCCUCCAUAGGUGCCUCUUCUUGUAAUGUUUGUUCUGGGAAUUACACUUGAAAGCCUUAUCGUGAUAAGGGAUUACAAACACUAGUUCAGAGGACAGCCAUGUUAAACUUCCACUAUGUUUGUGUCACAUUAUCAGCAGCCUAGUGUUUAUUGGUCAUGCUAUCUGCAACUAAUAUAACCCGGUGAACUUCAAUCUAAAUUCUGAAAGUACUCAUGUGACAGAUGGUGCCUUUCAGCAGAUAUCAUCAAUUUAAAAGUAGUGUGUGUGCCUAUAGGUGGGAAGGCCUUGGCAAAUGUUCAGUAUUCCGGUAAUUCAAGAAGGAUAUAUCUAAAAUAGAUUUUCUUCUUGCCCAUUUCAAUAGUUAAAAUUUGAGAAGAUUGUGUCCACAUCACACAAAUAUUAUUGGUCCUUCUGUUGCAAUUUACCUCUGAACAUGUCUUCCAAUUCCCACGGUCCUGUUACUCCAGGAAAACUAUUUCGGUCAUAUUGAAAAAAAAAAUAUUAAAGAAGGUACACAUGCUUUUAAGUGGACUGGGGCAUUCAUAUCAGGUGGUCUGUAUCCACAUAUGCCACUUCGUGAAAGGUGGAACAGCCUAAUCACUAGGCUAUUUAGUGUGGCCCAGCCACGUUAAUCAAGCACAAGUCUUCAUACUUAAAGUCAAAUGGUGUCUUUAGUCUCAUUACACAUCGCUAUUUGAAGAUUAACUCAUCACUAGUGUAAUGCGAUUAAGACAGUCCUAACUCAAUAUUUGUUCUAGUUUUGGAUGCAAAUGCUUGCUGGUUUCAUCAUUGGAUGGGAUAAAGGUGCAAUCAGGACUAUGAAUACGUGCAGUAAUACUUCAUUCUCUUUUUUCUCAAUGAGACUUCUUGGCACAAUUUUGCUGCUCAGCAACCUACCUUUCCAUGGAAAAUCAGUUGUGACUGAUAGUAAUGGAUAUAUUCUAGAAAGCUAAACAUAGAUAGCAUUCAAUAUUAUCGAUAUAACAUUAACAGCGUAUGUCUCAAUGCUCAUCAGCUACAAGCAAUGGACAAACACUUUGAGUAACUCACAGCAGUCAAAAUUCCUAAACAGGACAGACGUGACAGAUCUAUAUAUAGAACACUGCAUAUGAGUCACAGGAAAAGAUAAUACGGGUACAUAGAAGCUCUUAUUUUACAUAUUACUCAUACUGAUCAAAGUCGCUCAGUUGGGAUGGAUGGGAGAAGGAGGUUUGAGGGGUGGCUUGUGCGGGGAAGUUGGCAGCUUCUUUCCGGGAGCUGGUUGCUUCUUUGCUGGAGUUGAAGGAGGCUUAAUCUUCCGAGGUGGCUUGUAUGAGUCUUCAGCAUUCUCAGCAGGAGGGUGACCAGGGUUGUGACCAUAAUGUGGUGGCUUCUCUCCCUUAGGUGGUUUGCCAACUGGGGUUGGUGGCUUGUUUUCUGGGAGUGGCUUCUCUCCCUUGGGUGGUUUGCCAACUGGGGUUGGUGGCUUGUGUUCUGGGAGUGGCUUCUCCCCCUUGGGAGGUUUUUCGAAUGGGGUGGGUUUGUGUCCUGGUGGUGGCUUCUCUCCCUUGGGAGGUUUACCAAUUGGGGUCGGUGGCUUGUGUUCUGGGAGGGGCUUCUCUCCCUGGGGAGGUUUAGUGGGUGGCUUGUGUUCUGGAGGUGGCUUCUCCACCGGAGGCUUAUGCUCUGGUGGUGGCUUCUCGAAGGGGGGAUGCUCAGGGUAAUCACCAAGUGAGGGGGUGGUGAGAACCACCAUGCCAAGCAACAACACUAGCAAGUAUGUAGUAGACAUCUUUGGGUUUGGACUCAGACAGUGCAAAACUACGAGAAAUCGCUAGCCCUUUAUAGCGGCUCGGACCUAAUACUGACAUAAUAUAAAAUAAAUAUUAUAUUUUAUCAAGAGAGAACAGAGUGUAAUUUUAUCAUUAAUACCGAUCGAGGCCAAAGAAAGAAGACCCAUAAUCCAUUUCCCACAAGCAUACACAAUGCAGCUGUAAUUUUAUCAUUUACUUUUAUCCCUUGGACCACUGCAUUUUUGUUGAGAGACACAAUAACACAUUUUUAUCUGUCAUUCAACAUUUACAGUAAAGAGAGGGCACAAAACGCAAUUAGAUAAAUUAUGUUUUGCCUGCUAAAAAGAGGCAAAUAACUUUAUUUGCAACAUAAUUAUUUUGGUUUCUAGUGACCCCGGGGCCUUUCGGUUGGUUUGGGAUCGGAAAAUGAACAUCAUAGGGGGGGUUGUGCCCUUAUGGGCAUAUAUAUCUGAUAGCUUCAACUGGCCUUGUUCCUAGAAAGAAAUUGCCAAAGAUAUAAACUUAUUCCAGGCUGAAAGUAGAUGAGAGUCAUAAUGAACAUCAACCUUUGUUCAGUUUGAUUCAAUGCCCCCAUAGUGUUCAUUUCACAGAUCUGAAUGAUUAUAUCCGUUGAAUACAUAAAUUAAUGAAGACAAAUAUGAAACCCAAGAUACAUCUCUGCAUAACAACCCCAACCCUGGUUGCUAUGUUUCCCUUCUUCUAUUCACAUGAGGAUACUGGUUAUAAUUGUCAAACUUGCAACAAGCCCUUUGACACCUAACGUCAAUGGACGAAUUAAAAGUCUCCUUCAAACGUCUAUUUCACAGCAUGAAGCUUAUAAAGGAUGCUGACAACCUUCAGAGUUAGCGACAAAAGAUAAUUAUCAAGGAGAGAUAGUUCCAUGAGAAUUCCAAGGAGUCUGAAUCAAAGACAAAUUGCUCACUCAAGGGUUCUUAUUUUCUUUUAGGUACAAAUCUCUUGAGUGUUGUUAAAGAAACACGUCACUGUCAUUUUGAUUUGCAUUUAACAUUUCACUUUUGUUCUGGAAGGUUUGUUCCGGAAACAUAUCAAAUGAGCAUCAUUUUCUUCUUCGGUGACACAUGGUCGCGAGUACGUGGGUCCAUUUUCAUGCCACUUAGUUGAAAAGUUGGAAAGAAAAAACAUGCCAACAAGAAGAUAGUGAGAGAAGGGGCACUUCAAGCCUUUAACAUGAACAAACAGUAAAUAAAAGAUGUUUCUCCACUCAUAAAAGUGUGUUAGAUAGCAAUAUAACGAAUCACAUCCAAAAUCUUUACUAGGCUCAAACAUAAAGAAGACUCAUUUUUAAGAAAAGAUAAAAAUGGCAUUGUCUGAUAGUAUCCAAUACACGAGAUGGCACUUAAUUUGUACAAGAUCUGUCAAUGCUGACGCACAUUUUCUGAUUAAAAAAAAACUGAUCAGUCAAAAGCAAUGAAGAGAAGUGAUGACAAUGAAUGAUGCUUCCAAUAUUUUCACCCCUUAUAGUGUUCUUCAUGAUUCAGAUAUAUAAUUGGAAAUAGAACAACCCUAUGCCAUACAUUCGUCUAAGUAUGGUGUCUAAUUUUUUGUGUCAGCGGUUGCGAAUGGAGCGUGCAAAAGUCCAAAUUGGCGUCUCUCCAUUUCCACAUAGGAAGGUGACCUUUAUUGACAAAUACCCAAUAUUUGUAGACAUUCCUUAAAUAUCAUAACUUCUUGUUGAUUUGAAAAUCAUUUUUCAACUACCAUGUUUUAAUAAAUAUUUUUUAAAAUGUAUUUUUAUCAAAGUCCACCAUGAUGGAUAAUAUUCACCAUGCAAUAAUUAAUAAAGUACAAACUAAGCGAAAUGAAAAGCAUUUUCUUUGCUUUGAGUUGAUUUUGGUUGCAUUGAGUUGAUUUUGGUUUCAUGGUUUUUUCAACUCUUAUUUUGAUUGGAAGAUGUCAAGAAAAGAAAACAUAAAGAAAAAUUAAAAGGGAAAAAAGAAGAAAAAUAAAAAAAAAUAGAUUUAAAAGUUAAUAAAUUAUUUUUUAUAUUUAUUUUAAUUCAUUUCACUUAUUUUUCUUUUACUAUAUAAAAUUUAAAUAAUUUAAAUUUUAUAAUUAAUUUAAUUACAUUUCAUUUUCUUCUAUAUUUAAAUAUUGGAAAAAUAUUUUACUUAAUAUUUUUUUCUUUAAUUUCUUUGGCAUUUUGGGAACCAAACUUAGCCUUUAAAAUAAAAAACAAAAAAAAAAUGAAAAUAAGGAGGGAAAAGUGAGAAAAGAUAAAAACAAUAUGUAAAGGAUUUGAAAAGUAUUAGUUUGUAAUUACUAUUUGGAUUUCAAUAGUAUUUUAUUUGUCUUUCUAUAUUUCAUGUAAGAGAGAAUUUAAGAUAUUCCCCAAGGCAAAGCAUUAGUUACCUGCAAUCAGUGGUGAUAAGGCUCCAAGCCAAUUUUGGGCCCCAUAUCUUAAGACAGUACAAUUUCCAUUUCAACAUUUCUGAUUUCUCAGAUGUUUCACAUACCACAGAAGAACAUUGUUUGUGAAAAUAUGCAUUUAUGUUGGAUUUUGUAUGCUGUGGGGACUGGGGCAAGGAUCAUAUGGAAGAGUGGUUGACUUUUUCUGUACUUUAACGGUUGAAAUAGGAUAAGCACGGGCAUUUGUGAGGCUUAAUUGAUUUUGAAGCCUGAAAUUGCGUUUCUGUCAUUUUGUCAAAAAAAUGGCAGAUUCCAUACUCAUAUGUUUGGCCUGUGGCCAUGUACAGAUGCCAUUUAGUGACCAGUUUGUAACUGUCAAUCGUUGCGUUUUGACUCUGCCUCAACAACAUCUGCCAUUGACGGGUUUUCAUACUUGCAAAUCAAAUAGUCUUUCGUCCCAUCAGGAAUUUCGGUUUAAAUAUUAUUAAGCAUACGUUUGGCUGACAAUCAUUAUCCAGUUCAUGAUUUGGUUUCUUACCCUUAAUCAAUGGUUUCUAAGUGAAUAUAUGUAGAAGGAAAUCCGAAGUGUAGACAGUAGUAUCGAUAACUCUCAAUAUUCUCUAUAUAAUAGAAUAAACAGCGUCAUAGUGAUCGUCGCCUACAAGCAAGGUACAAAUACCAAAACGAGUGACUCACAUAGACAUCUCCCAACAAGAUGUAGUAGUGACUGACACAUGGACACAAUUAACUCGUAGAAAAGGAUAAGACCAUUGCACAGCAGCUCUUAUUUUACAUACUACUUAUGCUAACCAAAGUCAAUUAGUUGGGAUGGGUGGGAGAUGGAGGUUUGUGCGGUGGCUUGUGGGGCGGAGUUGAUGGCUUCUUUCCAGGAGCUUCUGGCUUUUUCAUCGGAGCUGAAGGAGGCUCAAUCUUAUGAGGCGGCUUGUAUGAGUCUUCUUUACUCUCGACAGGAGGGUGGCCAGGGUUGUGAUCAUAAUGUGGUGGCUUCUCUCCCUUAGGUGGCUUGCCAACUGGGGUUGGUGGCUUGUGUUCAGGAAGUGGUUUCUCUCCCAUGGGAGGUUUAGCAAUUGGGGUUGGUGGCUUGUGUUCUGGGAGUGGCUUCUCUCCCUUGGGAGGUUUAGUAGGUGACUUGUGUUCUGGAGGUGGCUUCUCCACCGGAGGCUUGUGCUCCGGUGGUGGCUUCUUGGUUGGAGGGGGCUUGGGGUAAUCAGCAAGAGAUGGGGUGGUGAGAACCACCAGUCCAAGGAACAACACUAGCAAGUAUGUGGGAGACAUUUUUGAGUUUGGGCUGAUCAGAUGAUGCAAAACUAAAGCAUUACGUGACCUUUUAUAGCAUGUAGCUCCCAAUACCCACUAAGUAUUGUGGGGUCCAUUUGUGCCCUACGGGGUUGAAAACUUAGACAAUUGGGCAAGGACCCACCUGACUAUGGAGGACUAGUGAGGUGUGAUCAUAGCUUUAGGAUUUUUCUUCCUCUGCAGCCGUCGUGCCGUUGGCAUGAUUUUCUUAAUCUUAAAUAAAGGCAUAGUUAUAGAGUUGUUUAAUCUCUAAAUGGGAUUUUAUAUAUAUCUUCAGAUAGCCAUUAAUAUAUUUGAUGAAGAAAGAAAGACAAGUGCAUACAACAUGUAUACGACUAGCUUUCAUGGAGUUCAUUUAUGAUCAGUUUUCCUGUACAUGUAAACCAGGAUCAUAUAUAUGUUUCUGUUCCACAACUAUUUUGGAAUCUUGUUUAUCAGUUUUUAUCAUUAUAAUGUCACAUAGGCUGCCAACUUGGGCGCUAAAAGAACCAGUUGGGCUAGUUCGUUUCAGAAUUUCAAUGUGGAUUCAGGAAUUGUUUUGUAAGAUAUGCGAAAUAGUAGAGGGAUGAAUAGUGUUUCAUUAAUAAAAGUGUCCUGUAAAUUAGAAGGUGUCAUAGAAACUAUAAUCAAUAAAUAACUUUUUUUCCCCACGGGUGGUGUUUCUUGUGGGGAUCAGUGACUGGUUUAGGUUCACCCAAAAUGAGUUCAGACUAAAAUUGGUUUGAGUCAAUGCCGUGUCUCUUUUUUCCAGAAAUCAACUAUUUUAUGCAUUGAAUAAAUCAUACAAAGAAAAUAUGAACGCCCGCAAAACCUAAACCCUGGUUGCUAACUUUCUAUGUUUCAGUUCUAUUCACGCAAGAAUAUUAGUUUAAGUUUGGGAAAAAUGGCAACUUACCUAGUGAUUACUUGGUUUUGGUUUGCGACUAUUUACGCAACCAACCAUGAGUUUGACUUUAACGUCAUGGGUUGAAGCCUCCUACAGGAAGGGAGAAAGCUCCACAGCUAGCUCCAAAAGAGAAUUAUCACAUUGAUAGCUCCAGAGAUUCCCAAGGGGACUGAAUCAAAGACAAGUUCCUCACUUUUUCUUCUUUUGAGGCCAAAUAUGAACCAAGGAUCACACAACCUCAUUCAACUUCAUAAGUUUGAUUUCAUGCAGUUGAACACUGGGUGAAGGCCAUGACAAGAAUUGAUUCAAAAAUUCUAUCACUCUUUUAAGUAAUGGAAGAUUAUUAUCUCUGAUUGGCAUCACAACAGCACAUGCUCCUAGAUCUUUCUAGACACUCCAUGCAAUGAAAGCACAAUGGAUCUUGUAACGAUAGAAACUAAGCCAUGCUACAGUACUAGAUGAUGAGGUAAAACUAGUAGACACGGGUGGCAGCCUAUAUGGGAGGGACACAAGUCUAAUUGAUUUGCAUUUCAGCAUUAUAGAUAGGUAUGUUUUGGAAGAUUUGUUCUGGAAAUACCGCACCAAGUAGGAUUCUUUUUCUCUUUAGUGGGUCCACUUGCAUGCCAAUUAACGAGUUGAAAAGUAUGAGCACCUACCUCGUGCUCGUGGAACCGAAGGUCAGUGAAGUGGGGCUCCUUUUGGCCUCGUGUAAACUUGAUUCAGAAGUGAAGUUAAUAGUCUUCCAUUCAGAUGGAUACAUGGGAAUUUUUCUCUUUUAUUUAUUUAUUUAUUUUUUUUUUGUGUGUGUAUGUCAAAGGAUAAUGAAUGAAGCGCGUUAGCUUGUUUUCUGACUGGAACCGCAGAUGUCCAAAUUGGAGUUCCUUCAUUUCUUACUUAGGAUUGUUACAUGUAUAAACAAGGUAUAAGAAAUAUGCCAACGUGUCUUGAGGAGUUAUUGAUUAGAAAUAACAAGUCACCCGACUGUAGAGUUCCAAGAUUUGAAUCUUCAGACCCUAUAGCAGCCUCUGGGGUACGUGGCAUCCUAUAGCAUAUUAAUGAAGGCUUUUUCGAUUUAGACUUCACAAUACCAAUUAAUAUGUAUGCACAAAAUGGAGAUGACCCCAAAAAAAACAGAAUCGCCAUAGUUUAUGAGGUUAAGGUGAUUCUCCACUUAAUAUCUACAUUAGCUAAUUAUGUAAAUCAAAUGAACUUCUAUUUUUCCUUUUUUUUUUUGGUUUAUGUCAAAUAGUAGCCCAUAAUUAACCCAACCAUUAGCCUGUUUGAAUUGAUUUCACAUGCACAAUGUUGUAGUAGUUCAUAUUUUGAAUUUUAUUUUUACAAAGGUAGUUAAGGAAAAUGAAGUAUAAUAAUUAUAAAAGCAGACUAUAUACACUACAAUAAUUGUUAGAAUGGUAUCUCAAAUUCUAAUUUAAAAUAUUAUUUUUUGUAAAAGAAAUAUUAUAUAGAAUAUUUCCUAAUUUUAUAAAUGAUUAUAAUUAGAUCUUUAUAAAAUAAGGAAAGUUGGUAAGAAUAUCUUUAUAAAUAUUUUAGGUCAUGAGAGAAAGAAAUGGGAUAAAAAUGUGAUGAAGAGGUGAAAUAAGAGAGUUGAUUAGGAUAUAGAUGUGAAGAAGAAAGGGAUUCAAUAUAUAUAUAUCUUUCAAUUACCACAUUAAAACCCUGUGAACCUUUUAUAUGGUUUACUUUAUUUUUAUAUUCCUCCUUUAAUAUAUUUACAUUAAUGCUUCCAUUGGCACAACAAUAACGAAUUACAAAUACAAGCAACAAGUCCCAUGUUUUAUUACCAAAAGCAGGUAAAAUCCACCUAAUAUAUUACAAUAUAUUCAUCCAAUAUUUUAGACCAAUUCUUCACCAUAAAUAUCAUAAUGUGGCUUUUGUUCUUUCUUAAAUUUAAAUUGAAUUGUCUUAUAUCAAUUUGUUUGUGAUUUUUUCAUUAACUUCACUUUCAUUUGGUUAUCUUUGGUUUUUGAAAAGUAUUAAGGAAUUAAUUAACAAAAUAAUGUUAAGAAAAAUAAUUUUCUCUCUUUUGAUUUUGAUUUUGUAGUAGAAAAAUAUAAUUAAAAUUAUUUAAAAAGUAUGUAAUUUUAAAUUAUUUAAUAUUUAGAUAAAAAAAAUAAGUCUAAUGAGUUUAAAAUAACAUAUAAAAAUAAUUUAUUUAUUUUAAAUUUAUUUUUUAUUUUCCAUUAUGUUCUCUUUCUCUUUUACUUUUUCAUAUUUUUUCUUACGAAGAAUCAAACACAACCUCAUAUUAUAUGUCAAGUGUUUGUCUAUAUUUGAGCAAUGUUAGAUACGGCCAUGGAUUCAUCAAACUAAACUGAUUUUAAUAGAUACUUCACAAAUUGAUUUAUACACUAAAUCAUUGGAUAGCAAUGAUGCAUUGGAAUUAAACGUAGGAUGAAGCUCGAAGAACACUGUUUGUGUAACAACAUAUUUAUGAAAUUAUGCAAAGGAUGAGCUUCGGGGUAGUAGUACAAGGUCAUUAAUGGAGAGCCGUGUUAAACCUUGAUUGUGAUUGGAUUCCGUUAUCAGCAACAGCAACCUUGUUUGUAACCUUGAAAGUCAUUCUGUCCACAUCGAAACUCCAAUUUGACGUUUGUAAUUACCAUUCCUGGAGUGUUCCUUGAUUGAAAUUUAAAUAAUAAUUGCGGCCCACAAGGAAUAUUUUCGAUUCUGUGGGAAUUUGACAAGGUUUGUUAGAGAAGACUGGUGACAUGUUGACUUCAAUGGUUCAAAUAGGAGACGUAUGUGGAUUUGGGGGGUUUAAUUGAAACUGAGUCCCUAUGGCUUUUUAAUAUUUGCAUUGAGCAGUCUCCAUGUGACUUCCUAAUUCCCACCAACCCUCCUGUCCAUGCUGUGAAACUAAAUUGUAAUUUAUCAGCCUUUGUCAAUGGUUUCUAAAUUAAAGAUAUAGACCAUGCAUGUACUUUAAUAAAAGCAAAUCUAAAGUGUAGAUAGCAGCAAUGGUGACACCCAAUAUUCUCCAUAAAAUAGAAUUAGAAUAAGCAGUGUUACAUUGUUCAUGAUCACCUACAAGCAUACAAGAACUUCCAUGAAUAACUCAUAGCAAUUGCCAACAGGGCGUCGUAGAGACUCAUACAUAGAACACUAUCCACCCAGAGGAAAGGACAAGACCAGUGCGCUGCAGCUCUUAUUUUUCACAUGUAUACCACCACUCGUAAUAACCAAAUUCACUCAGUUGGGAUAGGUGGGAGAUGGUGGUUUGUGGGGUGGCUUGUGGGGAGGAGUUGGAGGAGGCUUUAUUUUCUGAGGCGGCUUGUAUGAGUGUGCAGGAGGAUGCCCGGGAGUGUGACCAUAAUGUGGUGGCUUCUCUCCCGUAGGUGGUUUGCCAAAUGGGCUUGGUGGCUUCUCUCCCUUAGGAGGUUUACCAAUUGGGGUUGGUGGCUUGUGUUCUGGGAGUGGUUUCUCUCCCUUGGUAGGUUUGCCAAUUGGGGUUGGCGGCUUAUGUUCUGGGAGUGGCUUCUCUCCCUUGGGAGGUUUGCUAAUUGGGGUUGGCGGCUUAUGUUCUGGGGGCGGCUUCUCUCCCUUGGGAGGUUUGCCAAUUGGAGUUGGCGGCUUAUGUUCUGGGAGUGGCUUUUCUCCCUUGGGAGGCUUGCCAAUUGGGGUUGGCGGCUUAUGUUCUGGGGGUGGCUUCUCUCCUUUAGGAGGUUUGCCAAUUGGAGUCGGCGGCUUAUGUUCUGGAAGUGGCUUUUUUCCCUUGGGAGGUUUGCCAAUUGGGGUUGGCGGCUUAUGUUCUGGGGGUGGCUUCUCUCCCUUGGGAGGUUUGCCAAUUGGAGUCGGCGGCUUAUGUUCUGGGAGUGGCUUCUCUCCCUUGGGAGGUUUUGUUGGUGGCUUGUGUUCUGGAGAUGGCUUCUCCCCUGGAGGCUUGUGCUCCGGAGGUGGCUUCUGAAAUGGCGGGGGCUUGGGGUAAUGAGCAAGAGAUGGAGUACUG